rnacentral:lncRNA from 1 species
AAAAAAAAAAAAAAUAUAAAGUAAAAGCAAUUUGAAGGACAUUUCCCUAUGGCAGUUUCGCGGAAAAAGAUUAAACAUAAAAGGGUGAGUAUAAACAUACCCAGUAAGGGACCCACUACUGAUCCUGUUUAGAAGAAAAAUAAAAUUGUUAACUUCCUAUUGGAGGUGCCCUGCACUUUAAAAGUCUUGUGAUCAUGUAGGAAUACACAUAAGCAGUCCAAUGCCCUAAAGGACACAAAUACUAGUCUAGUGCUCUGCAGAAAGCACAUGUCAGUCUAGUGCUCUCGAAGAAUGCACAUGUCAGUCUAUUGCUCUCGAAGAAUGCACAUGUCAUUCUAGUGCUCUCGAAGAAUGCACAACAGGUGGUGAUCCUGUAGGACACCUGCAAGGCACACUACCCAAUCGACAAAGCUAACAAUUUUCCCUUAGUCCAUUAUAAACAUUUAAUCAAUCCAUUCCUAGUAUAGUCAAACUACUCCAUCAUAUCAUCAAUCCAACUUAACACACUUACGUUCAAUCUAUUCAAUCUAUCACAAAAUCAGUUGAUACUAUAACAACACACCAGACAGUCAAGAUAUAUAUAUAUAUACAUAACACCUUUCUCAGUUUACAAAUACAUUAUCCAUCGUAUCUACUUCUAUACCAGUAAGUUUACAAACACUAACUGUUGAGUUUCUACAGUAGAUUCUUGAAGAUGUGACUCUUGAACAGAUGGAUUCUCAUGGAUGAUCACAUGUUUGUUAUUUUGAUGGUCAUCAUUCUUGUCUAGAUUGUGAUGACUAGAAUCAUCACGAAGAUCAUCAUACAUGUUGUUAAUAUCAUCAAACAAUUGAUUCUGAUUCUAGUAUAGAAAGAAAAAAGGAUAAUAAAAAAAUAGUUACAAAAUGAUCGUGUAUCCUUAAGCAAACAAUCGUGUAGAAUAUCUAAACGGUUGUUUUACCAAGGGUGAUCGAUAUUUUAGAUGGGAUAUGCGAUCGUUCAUAUGUGAUAUGUGAUCGUGUAAAGAUAUAUCAAACCUUUGUUCUGUCAGAAGUCGUGCUAAGAAGAGUUGAAAGCUUGUAAUAAGAUCCAUCAAAACUGAAAGAUUUUACAUCAACACGUUCCUGACACAGUAAUGCAGUAUCAAUGAGCAUCAAAUUACGUGAGAUACGUAUUAGAAAAUAUCUAACUGCUCAGUUAAUUUUUUAUGGACAUCAAAUCACCUUUUUUCAAGCUUAAGGAAGGAAAUGUCGACACUAUAUAUGUCAGAGUUGUGCAUUGCAAUGGAAGUGCCAACACGAGGUGAUACAUGUGUGUCUGGGAUGUAAAUGCCACUCCCCGACUAGGACCAACAUAGACUUAGGGAGAAAGCAUGCUAGGAAUUGGAGUUGUGUCCUCAAUUUCUUCAAGGGACUUGAGCAUUUCUUCUUACACUAGAAUGUCUCCUGUUCAGAGAGUUUAUAGGAUUUCUCAAGGCCAUUUUUGCAUACUUAACAGCUCUUGACAACGGUAGAGAGUCUAACUCUACACUUUCAAGGGGUUCCAACUCCACCACUCGCUGAGCCAAAGAUAGAGACGAAUCAUUAAUGAUCCAGUAAGCAACAUGAAACCUUGUAAUUUUGGGGUUAACGGUAGUCCCUCCCAUUACUAGCUCAACACUUAAACGGAGUCUCCUCUAUAAAAUAUAAAAUAAUACAGACACAAAUAGUGAAUGAAAUCUUGUGACGUAACAAACACAAAUUUUAGGUAUACUGCAAUUUGACUAAAUAUUGAACAAGAAAACCCAAGGGAAUACACAAAAAUCCAACGUUUUUAGGGGUCAAUUUGGAAAAUGGCAAAACUACUUUUUCUUUUCAAUUUUAGCAAACAACAUUUUUUGCGCGUGCAUGGUAUUUUAUAAAAUACCAAAAUAUUCAACUUCUCCAACUAUAAUUAUUUUGUUUUUACGUUAUAAUUAAUUUAUGUUAUGUAUUUAUCAACUUUUAAUUAAUUUUUACUUGAAAUAGAUACAUUAACUCAUAUCAUAACUUUUCUCUUAAAAUCUCAGGACUCAAUUAAUUAAUUCAAUAUUUUAAUAACAUUAUUCAAUCUUAUUAAUUUCAAAAUAAUCUAAUUGAAUUUGAAUUUCAAAAUAACCAAAUUGAAUUUCAAAAUUACAAAAUUAUUAUUUUCUAGAAUUUGAGAAUCUCAACGAUAGAUUUUAUAUUAAAAUAAACUUAUCUCAAAAUAAUUUUAAUGACUUGAAUAUCAAGAUAAUUAAAUUAUUAUUUUAAAAAUUGGAAGAAAAGCACAAAAAGCGCACACGCCCACUCACGUACACACGCACGCGCGCGUAUACGCACACACACGCACACGCACACGCACAAAAGCGCACACGUGGACACUCACACCCACGCACACGUAGACAUACACACCCACGCACACGUGGACACGCGCAUACGCACACACGUACGCACUCACGCACACGCACGCACACACGCACAUAUGCACAAAGAUGUAUAAAUGAAUUAAAAUUAAAAAAUAACUACAAUAAUUUGACUUACUAACGUUAAUUAAAUUAUAAUUUCUAUCAAUAUUGGUUUAAAAGUGUCAUUAAUGUAAUUAUUUCAAUAUAAUGCACUCUUAUCCAAUUUUACGAACAAAAAACAAGUCGAAUAUGUACCAUUAGAUGACACUCUUUGUCAUAAGAGAUAUAGCAACGUUUUUAUGGGUCAUUUUGAAAAAUGGCAAAACUACUUUUUCUUUUAAAUUUUAGCAAAUAGAAUUUUUUACACGUGUCCAUGAUAUUUUAUAAAAUACCAAAAUAUUCACCUUCUCAAACAGUAAUUAUUUCGUUUCUACGUUGUAAUUAAUUUAUGUUAUGCAUUUAUUAGCUUUUAAUUAUUUUUUACCUGAAAAAGAUACAUCCUUUUUCUUAAUAUCUCGGGACUCAACUAAUUGAUUCAAGAUUUUAAUUUUAUUCAAUCUUACUAAUUUCAAAAUAACCUAAUUAAAUUUCAAUUUCAAAAUAACAAAAUUAUUAUUUUUCGAAAUUUGAGAAUCUCAACGAUAGAUUUUGUAUCAAAAAUAACUUUAAUUGAAUUUCAAAAUUAAAAAAUAUUAACUUGUUCGCACACAAGCACACGCGCACACGUGCACAACGCACGCACACACACGCACACACACCCAUCCACACACGCACACGCACACGCACAUAUGCACACACGCACAAAGAUGUGUAAAUUAAUUAAAGUUAAAAACAAAUACAUUCAUUAUGUUCAGAAAGAGUUUUAAACCAUGUUCAUUUGACUUAAUAACAUUGAUUAAAUUAUAAUUUCUAUCAAUAUUGGCUUAAAAGUGUCAUUCGUGUAAUUAUUUCAAUAUAAUGCAGUCUUAUCCAAUUUUACGAACAAAAAACAAGUCAAAUAUGUACCAGUAGAUGACACUCUUUGUCAUAAGAGAUAUAGCAACGUUUUUAUGGGUCAUUUUGAAAAAUGGCAAAACUACUUUUUCUUUUAAAUUUUAGCAAAUAGAAUUUUUUACACGUGUCCAUGAUAUUUUAUAAAAUACCAAAAUAUAAACCUUCUCAAACAGUAAUUAUUUCGUUUCUACGUUGUAAUUAAUUUAUGUUAUGCAUUUAUUAGCUUUUAAUUAUUUUUUACCUGAAAAAGAUACAUCAACCCAUAUCAUAACUUUUUUCUUAAUAUCUCGGGACUCAACUAAUUGAUUCAAGAUUUUAAUUUUAUUCAAUCUUACUAAUUUCAAAAUAACCUAAUUAAAUUUCAAUUUCAAAAUAACAAAAUUGUUAUUUUUCAAAAUUUGAGAAUCUCAACGAUAGAUUUUGUAUCAAAAACAAUUUUAAUUGAAUUUCAAAAUUAAAAAAUAUUAACUUGUUCGCACACAAGCACACGCGCACACGUGCACAACGCACGCACACGCACGCACACACACUCAUCCACACACGCACACGCACACGCACAUAUGCACACACGCACAAAGAUGUGUAAAUUAAUUAAAGUUAAAAAAACAAAUACAUUAAUUAUGUUCAGAAAGAGUUUUAAACCAUGUUCAUUUGACUUAAUAACAUUGAUUAAAUUAUAAUUUCUAUCAAUAUUGGCUUAAAAGUGUCAUUCGUGUAAUUAUUUCAAUAUAAUGCGGUCUUAUCCAAUUUUACCAACAAAAAACAAAUCGAAUAUGGAUCAGUAGAUCUACACUCUUUGUCAUAAGAGACAUAACAACGUUUUUAGGGUCAUUUUGAAAAAUGACAAAACUACUUUUUCCUUUGAAUUUUAGCAACUAGCAUUUUUUGCACGUGCAUGGUAUUUUAUAAAAUACCAAAAUAUCAACAUUCUUCAACUGUAAUUAUUUCGUCUCUACAUUGUAAUUAAUUUAUGUUAUGCAUUUCUCAGCUUUUAAUUAUCUUUUACUUGAAAUAGAUACAUCAACUCAUAUCAUAAUAUUUUUCUUAAUAUCUCGAGACUCAACUAAUUAAUUCAACAUAUUAAUAAUUUUAUUCAAUCAUACUAAUUUCAAAAUAACCUAAUUGAAUUUGAAUUUCAAAAUAACAAAAUUGAAUUUCAAAAUAACAAAAUUGAAUUUCAAAAUAACAAAAUUGAAUUUCAAAAUAACAAAAUUAUUAUUUUUCGGAAUUUGAGAGUCUCAACGAUAGAUUUUGUAUUAAAAUAACCUUAAUUGAAUUUCAAAAUUAAAAAAUAUCAACCUGUUCACUAUCUUUAUCUCAAAAUAACAUUAAUGCCUUAAAUAUCAAGAUAAUUAAAUUAUUAUUUUAAAAUUGGAAGAAACUCAACAUUAAAAAUAUUAACUUGUCGGACACAAGCAUAGAAGCACUGCGCACACACGUACACAUGCACACUUACACACACGCGCGCACACGCACACCUACACACAGACACCCACAGACGCACGAACCCACGCACACACACAUGCACACGCGCACGCAUGCACACACACACCUAUCCACACGCACACAAGCACACACACAUGCACAAACGCACACACGUGUACGCACAAACCUUAUCUCAAAAUAGUUCCUAUUUUUGCUGACAGUUUAUUUUUUGCCAUCGAUAGAGGAUCUUCCAAUAGACCUACGUGACGGUGUGUGUUGACAGCUUAAUUUUGUUGGCAAAAGAAAAGUUGAUUAGUUUUUGAAGAUUUACUGACGAUAUUUGUCAUCGACAAAGGGUAAAUUUCUUGUAGUGCAUGUACAUCAAACAUAUCAAAUUUGUUAAGUGUACCAAUGAAGUAUAACAAGUUUAUUAGUGGUGUAUCACGUGUAUCAAACUUAUUAGUGAAGUCUUUAAGUGUAUCAAACUAAUCAAGUGUAUCAAGGCCUCAGGGGUAUCAAGUGUAUCAAGAAGAAUCAAGUGUAACGAGAAGUAUUAUGUGGAACGAGAAGUAUUAUAUGUAUGAAGAUGUUUCAAGUGUGUAUCAAAAAGUAUCGAGUGUAUCAAUGAGUACCGAGUGCAUGAAUUGUAUCUAUCAAAUGUAUCAAGUGUAUCAGUAAGAAGUAUCAAGUGUAUCAAGGGUAUUAGGUGUAUCAGACGUGUAUAAGGUGUAUCAAAUAUACAUCAAUAACGAGGGCAUUUGUGACAUUUUACCUCUUGAUGUGUGAGUUGGUCUUUGUUUUUGUCAUUUUCUCAAAUAAUAAAGUAUGUGUUCUAUGGACUUAAUUAUUAUAACUUAUUUUGCCAUUUUCGCAAGUGUCCCUUAAUUGUAAUACAUGUAUAUGUGACAUAAUCUAAUCAAACUAACUCAUAAAUGGACUUAAUGUAUCAAGAGGUAUUAGGUGUAUCAGACGUGUAUAAGGUGUAUCAAAUGUACAUCAAUAACGAGGGCAUUUGUGACAUUUUACCUCUUGAUGUGUGAGUUGGUCUUUGUUUUUGUCACUUUCUCAAAUAAUAAGGUAUGUGUUCUAUGGACUUAAAUAUUAUAACUUAUUUUGCCAUUUUUGCAAGUGUCCCUUAAUUGUAAUACAUGUAUAUGUGACAUAAUAUAAUCAAACUAACUCAUAAAUGGACUUAAUCUAUCUCAUGGACCACGAAUUCUUCAAUUACUUGCAAAUUUGGUGAGUUCCUUCAAAUGGUGGGCGGAGAGCUUAAUUUUGAGAGAGAGGAAAAGUCGUGAAGAGUAUUUGCGAGAGAGGGGGGAACGUCGCCAGAGAGCAUUUGCGAGAGAGCUAAAGACAGCGACGAUGUGGGAUGAAGUAAGGUUUUUUUCGGUCAUUGUUCACAAGUGGGAUGAAAGCUUCGAAUUAUUUGUUUUAAAUCAAAAAACGUAUGAUUGAAGGAAAACAUUGAUUUUUAUUAGGGUAAUUUUUUAAUGACACAUAAUUUAUGCCAUUAUUUACAAUGCCAAAAUUUUGUCAAGAAAACUCAAUUUGUGUCACAAAAAAAUUUGUAUUUUUAUUUUUUUAACGACACAUUUUAUUCCCUCAUAUCCCUUUUUCUUGAUUUCAAGUGUCAUUAAAACUUAUAUUUCUAAAUAAAUUUAUUCGACGAAAGUGGCUAGAUUGGUGGGUUUGACGGCGAAGGCUUGUUGUGGGAGCAACGACAACAGUGGUUGGAGUGUGGAAUCGACGACGGCAAGUGGCAAAAAAUUGGGGGCAAGGGUUCUUCAUAACGACUCGAUAGCCCACUUCGAAUUUUUUUGAAAUUUGAGGUUUUUUCAUUUGAAAAUUUUUUUAAUGACAAAAAAAUUGACGUUAAUUAAUGACGCAAAAUUUGUGUUGAAAUAAAUUAAAUUGUGUCAAUAUGAUUGUUUUAAGAAAUAAUCCAUAUUUAUAUUUUCAACAACACAAUGUACCUCAUCCCACCUCUUUUUUCUUUUAUUUUCAACGACACAAUGUCUUGAUUAAAAUCCAUUUUUCUAGUAGUGACUGAAAAAAAAACUGGACAGAAUCAUAAUAUCUUUGAUAAUUAAAUCACCAGUUGGUUUGAACAUAUAUAAUCUUGGAUCUAUUCUAUUAUGAUAUGACCAUGGUACAUCAUGAACAUACAUUGACUAAAAAACUUAAAUUGAUGAGUGAAUGUAAUAAAUUUAAUAUUAAUUAUAUGAUCAAUACUUUACACAUGUAUAUUGGUAUAUCAGUCAAUAACAGUAGUAAGACAAAUUAUAAAAUAUAAGGGAUAAAAGUCCUACACAUGCAUGUAUGGUAUACUCUCUUGAUAGCAAAAUGCAUUUAUGUCAACUCAUGUUUGAAUGCAUUUAUGUAGGAAAUUCAAUAAAAUAAUUAAGAAACCUUGCAAUAUGUGAGAGAUAUACGAACUUCAAACAAAUUUUACAAGUUUCAGCAAAAAUUUUCAAACAACUUUUAAAGUUUAAGCAAAAAGUAACCGUAGGUAGGAAGGGGAGCAAAAGUGGGGUCUCGAAUUAAUUCUGAAAAAUUAGUAGGCUUUCAAAAUUUAGGUUCUAGAAGUAGAAUUAUUGCAGAAAAAUAAAUAAUUGCAUCAUUCAAAUUGAAUCAGACAUAUCAGGAUGUAUAUAUUCUCCACAACGUAUAAUGGAGUAUAAACAUAAAGUUUCUAUAUACAAAGCUAUGUAUCUCUACCCUUGACUUCUCUUUCUCUCUUUCUACCUUUUUUAUCCUUUCUUUCUUCCAUUCACUCAAUACACUUGCAAGAACCUUCAUUUUUUUGUAUUUAAAUUUUCUUGGCACCAUCCUUUUUUUUAAUUAUCAAGGCUUUGUUAUUGUGUACCAGUAUUGUGUCGUGCCUCCUUCACUUCUCAUCAUCAUUUUCAUGUCACAUCUCUACCUUGUCAAUUUUCGUUUUUCACUCAGCUUUCUUUCUUCUUUUGUCUUCACUACUUUCUUCGCUCCUUCUUCUCAAGCUCUAACUUUUGCUAUUAUCAACCAGUCUCAAAUGACCAUUGGAAAACCUAUAGCCCACUGAGAGGCAGCCAAUAUAGUAAUGUCUCUAAUGAUAAACUCCAAUGAAAUCAAAAGUUCUUCUUUAAGAUUUGGAAAAAUAUAUUAGAUAAACCCGGACGUGGUGAACGCGGUGAACGCAGACGCACGGACGGUGAACACGGCAGAAGUUAGAGAUCCUCAGAGAGAACUUGGCAUUUUCGAAUGCGGUAGAGACAAGUCUAGGGCUUCAAAGGAUUCAACCCAAUAUUUUCUUUAUAUAUAUAUAUAUAUAAUAUAUAUUAUAUAUAUAUAAAUAUAUUUAAUAACACUUGACGUUUUCAAAAACGUCAAGAAAAACGAUCUUACUUAACGUCUAAAAAAACAUCAAGAAAUUUAAAAAAUAACUCUCUCUGGCUUUUUAUAAAAAUUCUUGACGUUUUAAAACAUAAAGAAUUUUUAAGAUAUUUCUUGACGUUUUUAAAAUGUCAAGUAAAAGUACAUAUUACUUGACGUUUGAAAAUUUUGAAGAAUAUUGAAUAUAUAAACAUUCUUGACGUUUAAAAAUGUCAAAAUUUUUAUAGAUAUUUCUUGACGUUUUUAAAACGCCAAGAAAAAAUACAUAUUAGUUGAUGUUUAAUAAACGUCAAGAAAUCUGAAAAUUGACCUACCCGCCUUUUCGUAAAAAUUCUUGACGUUUUAUCUUUGGAACUACUCCUUUCUUGACGUUUUUUUUGAAAAAAAUGUCAAGAAAGAAAAACAACAAACGUCAAGAAAGGCCUUUUUUGUAGUAAUGACAUACAUAAAUAUAUAUAUAUACAUAUAUAUAUAUAUAUAAUGAAUUAAAAUGGUUUUGUUGCUUUACUGUUUUACUCUAUAAAGGAAGAGCAUUAUAAAUAUAUUAUUGAGGAAACAUUUUUUGAAAUGACUGGUUUUGGAAGUGUCAUUAGAUUUUUAGUUAGUUAAGCACAUUUUCCUCCCAAAUAGUAGUCGAAAUACAACUUUUUUUAAGAAGAAGAAACCGAAUCAUUCAAACUAAGAUAAUCCUAGGAUAAGAGUCAUUAUCUAUUAACAUAGAGCUAAAGUUACAAGGUUGAAGGCUAGAGGGAAGCCCGAAACAACCUAAUCUAACAAAGCUUAAAGUUAAGAGUUGGUAGUAACAUCAUAUUGGUUACAAGAUGAAUGACGCCUAGACCAAACUCCGAUCAAGUUACAUAUGUCUUCCCACAAGUAAACAAUAAACCUUGAUUUAUCCUUAAAAAUUCUAUUGUUUCUUUCUAUCCAAACAGUCCAAAGUAAGCCAGUUAUGGAGGGAGGAAUACACAUUAGAAAGCUCAGUUAUGGAUGGAGGAAUACACAACUUUUUCUCAUGGUCAUUUUCCUCGUGGGCAUUAUCUUCAUGUUUCUUCUUAUUCCGACUAAAAUACAAGCACAAAUUAUUCUUCGCCUUCGUAUAGGUUUGUUUGAAGAAGAUUAAAAAAGUCCUUAAUUUAUCUCGACACUUCCAAAACCAGAAUAUAAUACCCGUGCUACAUAAAUCCCUCUUUCCAAAUAGUCAAACAUGAACUAUCCAUGAAUAUCUUGAAUAAACAAGAGAAACCCUAACUAAACCCAAAUAGAAAAUACGCUGCAAUCUAAAAUAUACUUAAAGAAACAAAAAGAAGUUUUAAUGAUGUGGGUUUUUUACUGAUCUUCUUCAACAACAAAAUAACUCAACGCCACAGUUCAAUUUUUCCUUCCACGAAUUGGUUUUUAAAGAGUUUUCACCGCGAAUUUAUCUUUUUGGUUCAACAAGUAAACAACAUGUGAAUCCCCAAAUGCAAGGUUUUAUUAAAAAAUUAAAAUAUAAUUUUUUUAAAAAAAUUAUAAUACCUAAUUUUUUUUUAUAUAUUUAUAACCUAAUUUUCUGUCAUUGCAUACUUGAGAGAAAUAUAUUUUCAAUUAGCAUAAUAACCUUUAUAUAGUAAAUUAAAUUUGUAGAAUGAGAAAAGACCUUAGAUCCAAAAAAGUUAUUUAUUUAUUAUUGGAGUGAAUUGUCUAAUUAAUGUAGUUAAUGGAUGGUUUUGUAACCAUAAAAAUAAUGAAAAUAAUUUUCUAAAAGAAUGAAUGAAAAUUUGGAAAGUUAAAAGGUUUUAGGAAUUAAAAAAAGGGUGUAACAUUAUAAAAGACUACCAAAUAUACUGUAAGAGACAUGCAUUAAAGAAGCUAAGGCAUGCAUACUACCAAAUAUACUAUAAAUAAACCAGAAUUCUUUUUAAGAAAUUAAACAACUAAUUAAAUAUAAAGAAGAAAGAUUAGAAAAUGAAUGAUCAAACAAACUAUGACUCAUUUAUUUUUGACAGGUUCGGCCAGUAUCACCUGACAAUUCAUUUUCACCAAGAGAAUAAACAUGAGUAGCCUUGGAAUCAAGUUCCUCCGAUAAAAGCCACGGAGUUGAUGGGUUAGAGACAGAACCAGAAUUUGAGUUCAACGAUCUGGAUGGAAAAUUCUGAAACUAGCAGCAACAAGAAGUUAAGAUAACGAAUUAUUUUCAAUAUAGAAAGGCUAAUUGUAAGAAGUUGUUAAUGAAGUGUCCAAAUGCAUUAUGGUAAUAUUGGGUGCAGAUUGUUUGGAAGUUUUAUCCGUGUGCUGUGAAGCACCACAGAGUUGAAGCAUAUGAAACCAGUGUUUAUCUGACAAAAAAUAAUGUCAUGAUCAUUGCCUUUCCAUUCCAUAAAUUUAUGGAUAGCAAAAGAAAGAGAACUCUCAACACAUGAAUCACCAUAAAGACACACAUGACAACAUUAUUUUGGAUGAAGUUCUAAUAUUGCAACCAUGGAGGAAAAAUCAGCAAAUCUUAAAUAGAUGUAGUAGUCCAAAUGAUAAAAGUUUGUCUCAAGAUAAUAUUUCAGUAACUGCAGAUGCAUUGUGCUGAAUCUAACUCUUGUGUUUCACGGUAAUGAACAAGGACAAUGUGUUCAAAGGUCCUGAACAAAAAGCAGAAGCAAGUCAUAAUUAUAUAAGUAGAACACGAUAUACUGCCACUGUCUAAUUUCAUUUUUCUUUGCUUGUGGCAUGAUGGGGAUAGACCCCACUGAAACAACUGGUAGCAAGCAAUUUAACAAUUUUCUUUCAACCAUAACAUACUUAUCUAGGAGCCAAUAACCCGCGAACAAAGGUUGGGCUAUCUAGUCCGUGGCAUAGUAUACAUGUAUCCUUUCUACAUUACCAACCUGCUGAAGAGAAAGAAAAGAUUAUCAAAGCACACCUUUCCUUGGUUAUUAAGGCUGUAAAAGAAUGAAAAUUACCAUAAAUCUAAACAUAGUUAAUAUUAGACCAUUGAACAACUUAUAGAUUCAAAAGGAAAGACUCAAACCACCAAUAGACUGGUUAAUCAUUUAAAAUGAUCUCCAACAACAUGAUACGCAGUAUAUCGUGCUAGAUCCAUAAUUACCAGAUGUGGACUCCUAUGGUAAUUUCAUUGAUGAUACGCAGCUAGUAGGCAAGAUUAUGAAAUGAAGACGGUAUGUGAGACGAUUGAAAAGAUCAAGAUGAUAAAAUUAUAGGGAUUUGAAUUUAUAUCUUAAGAACACCAGAGUCAAAUGCUUAAGAUGAUUAACUGUGUUAAAUUUAACUCUAUAAUAUAUAAAUUAUUAGCAAAAACAGUAGAAAUUACUUCAAAUUUGUAGAGAGAACAUAUAAAUUAUAUUCUAGAGAAAGAGCAUCUGAAUUAUAUUCUACAGAAACACGAGCCCAUAGUAUAUGUACUGAGUAGCAAUGACAGUGAAAAAGGGAAUAGUAAGUAACUAAUCUCAUAAACCCCUUUCUCACAUCUAACCAAGUUCUUUCACAACAUGCAAAAGCAUCAAAAUAUUUAAGAAAACUUCCAAUAUUGCAUUUGGAACUCAUUGAUUGACUUCAACGUUUAAGAGUCCUAAAAGACACAGCUUACUUUCUCACCUCUCACCACUAAACCUAUGGCAACAUCUUUUUAUAAGAUAUUAAGCUAAUCUUUAGAUUGUUUACCGAAUAAUCGUCUAUUGUUUUGUAAUUGAUCCCACCAAGCGCUUACGCCACCUUGAAGUUUGAGAGCAACUAAUCGAACCUUCUUGUGUUCGGGUGUAUUGGCAUAGUCGAAAAAAAUUUCUACGUUCUUGAUCCAAUCAAGAAACUUCUCCACGUCCAUUUGACCAUUGAAGGUAGGGAGAUCCACUUUCAUACGUAUUUCUUGAUCUUCUUGAAAGUAUGGUCGAAGUCCAAGCCUUUGUUGAGGUUCUUGAUGAAUGUUCAGCAAGUUGUUCAUCGGAAGAGUCAGAAUCGUUUAAGAAAUUUCCAAGUACGUUGUUUCCAUACAAUCGAUUAUUGUUGAUGUGAAUAGGUUGAUUUCUUAGUAGUUCUUGGUUUACAACAGGGUUUAUUGGUUUUUCUUGUCUUUCUUGGUUUGCUGCAAUUGGGUUUCUUGGGGGCUGAAUUGCUUCUUCUAAAGGUUGGACAUGAAAUCGGGUAAAAAGGUUUGUUAAUUCUACUAACGAUUGCUGUAUAUUCGAUUGCCCUUUUCGAAGUUCUUCAAUAGCUUGUUCUACCAACUGCAAGCGUUGGUUGAAGGAGGCUUCCGCGUCCAUGGAUAAGAGUGGUAGGAUCCAAGUUUUUUUAGGGAAGAGUGAGCUAGGAUCACGCUCUGAUACCAAUUGAUGCAGUAAUUGCAAAGCUAGAAAUCUUUAUGUAUAAUGCCUCUUUUUUUAUGUCUUAUUAAUGAAAAUGAGAAGCUUUUUUAUAGGCUGGAGAUUACAAGAGUUGUUAAACUAACUUGGGGUUGAGUUAGUUUAACUUGGAGUUGAGUUAGUUAUAACUAACUCAAGAUACAAAAUUGGUAAUUCAAAUAACUAAUCCUAAACUAUAAAAAUGGUAAUUCAAACCCCUCCUCUAGGAUAAAACUCAAGAAACAUCAAGAAGGUAGAUGUUCUACAUCAAAGUGUAGAGAACGAUUCAAAAUCCUUGGUGAAAGGAAUGAAUGUUAACUAAUGUGUGUUUAUGUGAAAUUGUUAUGUUAUGAGUAUGUUAAGGAUAAAGAAUGGUUUAUGCGAGAUAAAAUUAUUUGAUGUUGUUUAUGCGAAAUGAUGUCUAUGAAAAGGUAUUGCGAAAAGGAUUUCAUAAAACCUUAGUCUUUUAGACAUUCUUUCAAAAAUUCAUCUUCCAAGAUGAGGUGUUUAGGCCAAGUAGAGAAGAAGGUUGAAGGAUUUGCAGCGAGAUGACCAGACGUUUUGAAAAUAGUUAAGCAUUGGUUGUUUGGUCAAAGUGUUGUAAUUAUGUAUCAAACACAUGUUAUUAAUAAACAUCUUGGUAGGUAUUUAUUAUACUAAAGUCAAAGUGUUGGACUUUAGUAUUGCAUGGACAUACAAUUUUGAAUGAAAAAUCCUUAUAAAUGGGGCCUUUGAACUCAUUUGAUGGGUUGGCUAUUAUAUUUGGGCUUUCACACCAAAUGGAAUUUCUUUUUCUUAUUUACUUAAAAAAAAAAGAAAAUUUACCACGCCCAUUUUUUUCAUCUAUUUCUCUCGUCCGGUUCUUUCAUCCAACGGGUCCCACAACUCGAUUAUGAGUCUAGAGGAUACUAAGUCAAACUUAGUGGUUGUUCGAAUAAAACGCAGCUUCAAAUGUAAGUAUUCUAAAAACCUUAUUUUUUGGUUUAGUCUCGUUAACUAAGCCCAAUUAGGGUAGAAUUUCGAUUCUUUUUCUGUUGUGCAUGUCUUAGUUCUAUCAGUAACUCCUUUCAGGGUGAUAGCUCUCAUCAGCAGACUUUCCAUUGCUGGUUUCUUCCUUAGUCAUCAUUGUAUUGUUGUUUUCCACAAUAGAUAGGGUGAGUUGCAGUUUUACAUGAAAUGCACUGCUCAACCCACACUCUUUUCUCACUAGUUCCUUAUUCUCAAUCUUCAACGCAAAUUUCAUCAUCUGGGCCAACCCAAUCGGUUCCACGGUUUCCACUUCCAUUUUUAUUCAUGGGCUAAGCCCAAUCAUCAAAGUCUCCUCUAACACUACCGUUUGAAGAAAUGCUACCAGAGCUAAAUAUCGAUCAAAUCGGUUGCGGUAUUCUUCUACAUUCAUUUCUGUUUGAUUGAGAAAAAUCUUCCAACCAAAGUUCCUUCUCGAAUUGAUCGAAACUGUACAAGCAUUCGUUCUUUCAGGUCAGCCCAAUUCUUAAAAACUUCCAACUCUUCUUGUGCUUGGUACCAAUCCAAUGCCAGAUCAUCAAAACUAAUAACGCCUGUGGUUAAUUUCUCUGAAUCGGUAAGAUCAUGUAUCUUAAAGAAGCGAUAGGCUCUAAAUGUGAGACCCAUUUCUAAUUUGAGUAAUGAAGUAAAAUUGGCUAGGUAUUAAGAAUUUGGCGUUUGAAUAAAUCAACGAAAAGGAUUAAGCGAUAAAAAAAUUUAUGGUUAAGUAUACGUUAUUGCGAUUCAGUGGGUAGUUCGCGAAGGAAGUUGUGCGACCCAUUUCUAAUUUGAGUAAGGAAGUAAAAUUCGGCUAAGAAUUAAGAAGUUGGUGUUCAAAUAAAUCCAUGGAAAGAUUAAGUGAUAAGAUCUUUUACGGUUAAGUAUACUUUUUUGCGAUAAGUGGGUAGUUCGCGAAAGAAGUUGUGCGAUAAUGUAACACCCGAACUCUAAGGUAAUUAAUUUAAUCGGACCAUUCGAUAUUUUUACUCUUAAUUUUUGUUCGACGUCAUUUUGUUGUUUUGUCUUAAAAAAAAAAGUGUUGGAAAAGUCUUUCAUAAUAAUAAUAUAUUAUUAUUAUUAUUAUUAAUUAGCAUAAAAAAAAGGAAAAGAAAAAGAAAUUAAAAUAUCUUUUUCCUCUCUCCCCUCUCUCACGCGUGCGACACCCUCUCUCCAUCUUUUUCUUCUUCUCUUUCCUGUACCCUAACCCAGCCGACCAUCAUCUUCUCCCCUUCCCUUGCCGUUCAGAUCCAUGGCCUCCGCCCACCGCCGCGUGACCCUCUGCCCAGCCCCGCCGCGUGACCUCUGUCUCCGUCGAAGCCAAGUCCAGCCGUCGUCCAUUCCUUUCCUCUCUUCUUCUCCGUUCGUGAAGCCCAGUCGCCGCGUCAGAUCGUCGAUCGAUUUUGAGGCAGCGCGCACGCCUCCUUCUAGCCGCGCGUUUCCUCUUCUUCCAGCAACGUGUUUUUUCUUCUAACCGCGAUUCACAAACCGACGUACACUCUAAUCUGUUUGCACGAUGGUUUUUGUUUAGAAUCGAUUGCCGCUGCCCCUAUUUUUACUGAGAUCCGUCGAAGUAUUGUUGGUAAGAUUGAAGUUAUGAAAUUGUAGUCGUUUUCAAAACAAUUUAAGUAUGGGUUGUGAUGUUUUCAAGGUGUUCAAACGUUACGGAUGGGUUAAUUGACUAAUUUGAUAAAUUAUUCUUGAAGGUGUGAAAGGUAACCUUGGAUCACUUAAAUUCACAACCAAUUUGUGAAUUUUGAUUUCGAUUUCGUUUGCCCUUAUUUGGAUUGUUUCGUGGACGAUAGUUGAUUAAGGGAGCUUCCCUAACUUUGAGGUAAGGGACUUUCUACUGGACUCACCUAAAGUUUUUGAGUUGUGUUGGACUGUAUGGAUGAUGAUUAAGAUGUACACGUUUGGUUGCAGACUAAAUGUUUAGUGUAUGUUGUAUUUGACUGGAAACAUAUAUAUAAAUACAUUGAUGUGUGAAUUGAUGUGGAUUGCCGAAAGUAUACAUGUGAAUGACUGAAAUUAUGCUUAUGUGUACAUGAUGAUAUUAAUAGAUUGUGCUGUAUAAAGAUUUGGAUGUGAACUAGUGAAUUUGUUUCGGUUGAAUGUGGAUUAUACUGAACUGUGGUUUGCGCUGGUAAAAAUGAGGGGUGUUGUGACUUUGUUGUUUACUUGACAGAUGUAUUAAAAUGUUAUCAACGACCUUCGAACUUAAGUGAGAUAGGUUGACUGUUAGAAUGUUGAGUGAAAGAACUUUAUAUUUUGAAGUAACUGAAAGAUGUCAUAAAUUACCGUAAAGAUGGUUAGAAUGGAUUGAGGGGAAAAAUUGUUAGUUUUAUUGGGAUGUAUGCCUUGUAGGUGUCCUACGGGAUCACCAAUUUUUAUGCGACCUUCGGAGCAUUAGACUGAUAUGUGUUUCUGCAGAACACUAGACUGAAAUGUACGUCCCUCGGGGCGUUAGACUGAAAUGUGCAUCCUACGGGAUCACAAGACUGCGACUGUACAGGGUGUCCCAAUAGAAUGUUAACAAUUUAUUUUCCCCUGACGGGACCAGUAGAGGGUCUCUUACUGGGUAUUUUUAUACUCACCCUCCUUAUGUUUAAUUUUUCAGGCAAAGGUAAUAAAGGCAGCAAACCGGCGAGGGGCAGGAAGGAAGCGUGACCGCCACAGGGGACACUUUAAAAUUUUGCUUCCGCUUAGUGAUUUAUAGUAUUAUUUGUAUUCGAACGUGAGACUGUUUAGAAAAUUUUGAAGUUUUAAAGUAUUCAAAGAUUUGAAACUUUUUAGUUUUAAAUUUUCAUGUGAAUUUUAGUAAUUUAAAACUGGGGCCCAAACAAACAAAAUAAAUUUUGUUCUUUUGAGGUUUUAAAUUUUAAUUAACCAAGGUCUUUUGUCAAAAGUUAAUGACCUCGACUUAGGUAAAAAGUUGGGUCGUUACAGAUAAGAAGCGAAAAAGUCUUUGCGUAAGUUAAGAAAUGAAAGUUUUGAGUGUUAGACUAGGAGUUUUGGGUGGUCUUCGCGAGAAGAACCAAGUGUUUCGUGGAGAAGAAGUCUACGAGGAAGCCUUGGAGUUUAAGUUCGUGAUAAGAGUUUUAUGCGAGUAAAAGUUGGUUAGUUCAGGUGGAACGUUUCUUAUAAUAAAAAUAUAAUCAAGCGAUAAGGUUAUUCACGAGAAAUGUUAAGUGGUUGAAUUUAUUCACGGUUUGGGUUAGGCGGGGAGCAAGGUUUGUAAAGAAAAUGUCAAAUCUGAUUUGACAUGGGUUAACAUGUAAGAUUAAGGAUUUGAGCAUGACUAGGUUAAAUAUUAAGGAUUUGCAUGACUAAGUUAGUAUAAGGGAUCUAUAAAAUAGGAGAAUUUAGGUAACUAAGGAGGGGAUGACGAGAGUUUUGUUGAAAUGUUAAAGUGUUGUUGGUUUAGCCACGCGAAAAGAUGGUUGUGAGAAGGACUUCUUUAGUGAAGUUUGGUGAGUGCUUUUCAGUCAAAAGAAUUUAUGUUAAGAAACUUUAUUACGAUUUCUCUUUACUGAUUUGAAAGAAGAAUUCAGAUGAGAAUGUUUCAGAAAGAUUUCUACGAAAAGUUAUGUUUUCAAGCAUUAUUUAUAAUAUUAAAGCUUGAUUUGAUGACUAUGAUUUCAAUACUAUGUUUCUUUGAGAUGAUGCUAACUUUUGUGUGCACAUAAAGAGUGAAGGCCACCAUGGAGUGUACAAACUACAUGGUAAUAAGAAGCUGACUUAUGCAUUGAAAUGAGCGUAUAAAGCUUAGCGGUAUAGCAACAAAGACGAAUUUGUAUGUUCUCAGAUGUUGAUACAGUAGUCUAAACGCGAGGUAAUGAGACCAAGCGUAGAGAACGAUUCGGGAUCCUUGACAAAAUGAAAUGAUUUUUUAAGCAUAAAGAAAGGUUUAUUCGAAAUGAAAUAAUUUUUCGGUAUAUUUAAAUGAUUUGAUAUUAUUUUUACAAAAUGAUUAUGAAAAGGUAUUGUGAAAGGUUUUCAUAAAACCUUAAAGGAUUUAAAAAAAAAGUGGACCAUUCAACUUAAUUCCCAUCCACUAUCCUCUUGUCCAACAUGAAACUUUAUCUUAGUAAAACUUCUUGAUCCACUAUUUUACAAAAAUAUUCAAAACAAUACCAUACUACACCAAAUGUGAUAUUUUGGUAACACUUAAAAUGGUCAGAAAUACCAUUUUCCUGACUUUUUUUUCAUCGACCAUUAAAGAAAAAGUAUAGAUGAUGUUUCACAAAAACUUCCAAACCAUUGUGUUAGUUAUCGUUUUGGAUGAGGGUUGGGGUAGAGCAUCAAUACUCAAAGGUUGUUAAGAAUUAAGACCUAAGACUUGAAAACGAAACCGCCUGCCUGGUUGACAACAACACCAUCCCACUAGAGUGCACAAUGAUGAUUUAUUGCAUUAAGAAGAAGAUGGCAGUUAACCUUAGCGCCAUAAUCAGAACCUCAAUCCUCCCUUUGAUGAAAGCACCUAAAGGUGUCAUGCCUUUCCCCUCUACCACAUUGAAGCUCUUUGUCUAACACUACAAGAAAUGAGGACUCUCUCGAUGCAUAAAAUCAUUGGGAGAUAUAUAAAAAGCGUCAGAAAAGGCUUUUCUGACGCACUAAUAUACGUCGGAACACAAGUGAGGAAAAUGUAUCGGGAGAGGAACUCCGAUGCACAAUGUUGUGCGUUGAGGGUUUCUAGACAUCUUCCGACGUUGUAUGAACGUCGAAGAUGUUGUCAAUAUAGCAUCGAGAGAUGUCUAGGAACCAUGCGUCGGGAGAUCCUCUAUUUUUUUUUAAAAAAAAUAACUUCAUUUAAUUCCUAAAUUCAAAUUGAAAAUUUUAAAUUCAAACUCAACUUCAACACUUCAACCUCAACUUCAACACUUCAAUCUCAACUUCAACACUUCAAAUUCAAAUUUCUAAAACCUACAACUAAUUCAAAAUUCUAACAACACUUGAAAUUAAAUUUCAUUACUAAAACUUACAACUAAUUCAAAAUCUAAAUACUAAAGAAAUCUAAAAUCUAACACCUAAAACAAAUUUGAAAUCUAAAUACUAAAACUAAUUAACUAAAACAAAACAAUAACUAAACUAAACCACUUACCGAUGGCGACGACGACGGGACGACAACAGGGACGACAAUGGUGAUGACAAUGCCCUCUUCUUCUCAAUCUUCCUCUCGGUCUCCCUCUCCCUCUCUCAUUUUCUUUCUCUUUAUGUUUCCUUUAUGUAAAGAAUGGAGUUAAAAAAGACAGAGAACUCCUGACGCACGACGAAAACGUCGGGAAUAGCACCCUAUUCAUGACCUGAUUUGUUAAACGUCAGAAAUCCCUAAACAUAUUCCCACGCGAUUAAUGAUACGUCGGGAAUCCCUAAAUCUAUUCUCAACGUUGCUGCCACACGUAAGAGGAAGGCGUUACAUACAAUUAAUGAUCUGCCCUUCCUCCGACGGUUCCUAAGCUUUUAGCUUUUCUGCAAUCACCCCUUAUGCAUGUUCUCAGGCGAAUCUCAACCAAACCAUAACACUCCAUCAAAAUAAAGAAGAAGAGAGACACCUCAAAACCUUAAAUAAAGUUAAGGGAGAAGAAUGGAAUGACAGAGAAGAAGAAGAGGCUUCUCCGCUGCCACCACUACUCAAGAGGAGAAAUGUCCACGAUGACGCGUCUAACUCGUAUAAAAAGGAAAAAAGUCGAAAGCUAGACGUGGCCAUCGACCCUAAACCUCUUGCAAUCUGACCCCUAACUCUCUCAUUGCCUCCUCCAAAAUCCAAAUCCUUCAAUUCCAGUCCUCAUCCAAAAAUUGAAACUCCCCCUCAUCAAUCUUACCCAAGUCCUCUCGCAUGUCUAUUAUCCUCUCACCACCAAAUCCCCCAUCAUUAUAACAACAUCCUUCACCUCACGACCUGACCGAACAAGCCCUUACCCGAUCAAAAGGGCAUUGUUAGCGAAGAAGAAUUCCUUAGGGUUGAGGAGGAAGACCUGCAUCACAUUCCUCUCCCUCCGCACACUACUAUACGUAAUUCCAAGGAGGAAGACUUACAUCUCGCGUGUAAACACCGAUACCCAAUAAUCCUUAAUUCAUCUAAAGAACUCAAUAGGACAUUAGGGGUUGAUGUUAGGAGAAAGAUGGUUUAAGAUUGGAUAGUUUAGUUGAAGUGUUAUGGAAGAUGUGUUAAUAUUUUUAAGAUGAUAAAAGAAAAGUGUCAUCGUAACAAAGAAAGGCCUAAAGGGUGUUCGAAAAUUGGCUAAGUGUUGGCUAGGGCAUGUUGCAUACUCUAGGCGGCCAAAAGUGUCAAGCGAACCUCUAAAGAGACAUGUUGGGUGGCCAAAGGUUGAGAUGUGGUAUGGCCGAAAGGUGUCAAGACAACCUCUAUAAGACAAGGCUAUAUGACCAAGGGUAUGCGCUAGGCAAGGAAGCUAAGCAUCUAGGAAAUGUCAAGAAACUCUAAAGAAGUUAGAACGUGGAUAAGGAAUGUCAUGCAACAAAGAGGUGGGCUAUGUGGACAUAGGUCAUGCGGCCAAUGGGGCAAUUCAACCAAAUGCUAGUCAAGAUGGCAUGGUUUGUUGAAGGCAUUGAGGGAUGUUUGGGAGAUUAGGCGAGAAAAAAAAGUCUUAGGCAUUCUUGGCAGUAAGAAUUUACUAAAGAACCCUCAUAGAAAAAGGGAUAUGCGUCCAAGGAUGACUUAAGCAAUAUGAGGUAAGAUGUGCGGUAGAGUACAAGUGGACAACAUACAAGAUACCUAAGUUUUGCCAAAUAAGUGUCUUGCAUGAGUUGGAAAGUGGCAAGUAUGGGCGUAAGAGGUGAGAAAAAAAGGUUCAACCAAAGAGCAUGCAAGGAUCACUAUAUGUACAACUUUGGACGAAUUAUGUUAACAAUCAACUUGUGUUAAUUGGGUAACUCUACUUCGAAAAUCUCCUAAAUUGAGUGUAGUAUCAAGAGAAAGGCUACCAAGAAGAAAGGCAUUGAAGUGAAGAAAGACUCAAAGGUCAUUUUCAAAAAAAAAAAAAAAAAAACUUGAACAAUGUAGAGUAUUUUGAGCUACAUAACUCAAUACUUGGAAUUUGUUAGUGACACUUUGUGGUAAGCUAGUGAAGACAUUCUAAGUAAGUUUGUAGAAGGAAUCUUAUUGAUUUAAGCUUCAAAGUCGAGUUAAGUUUCUGGUAGAAAAAUCAUAUUUCUAGACAAGGCCAUGGGUGGGUUGAUUGCCAGGAUGACAAGGUGAGAUGAGCGUGUGUUUUGAGCGAAAGAGGUUAUUUAGGCUUGGGACAUGCAAGAAGCAUGUCCUGGCAUGAUCAAGCAGCCUGAGCCACGCGUCAUUACACACUCUAUUAUGAAAGUUGAGUAUAUUGCUACUUGUGAAGCAGCAAAAGAAGCAGUUUUGGUGAGGAAGUUCUUGCAUAAUUUGGAAGUUGUUCCAAACAUGAACAUGCCCCAUCACUUUAUAUUGUGAUAAUAGUGGGGCAUAUUACUAAUCCAUUUACAAAGACUCUCAUGGCUAAAGUGUUCGAGGGUCUUCUAGAAAGUCUAGAUCUGCGAGUUAUGUACAUUAGGUAAUCUAGGAAAAGUGGCAGAUGUGUAAUGGGUAUGAGGAUGCCCUAGUUUAUUGUAUUUGUAUAUACACAUUUUAUGUAAUACACUUGUACAUUUUACCAUUUUCAAUGUUAGAGGAUUACUUUAUUAUGAACAUCCCAAAGAGACGAGAGUUUUAGUCCAAGUGGGAGUUUGUUGGAAUUUAUGUCCUAAAACUCGUAGAUUGUAAAUAUAAUCCAUUGACCAUUGUUAAUAAAGUGUUAUUAUUGUAAUAAUUGUUAUUGAUUAUAUUAUUAGUUUUGUCUUAAUAACUCAAAUCCAAUAAACUAACAUCCUAAACUGUUUAAUAAGUAUUGAAUAGUAUGUAGAGACAUACAGGGAUCAAUGUUCGAGAUCAGCUUAAAGGGUCUAUAGUAUACGGAUAAGACUGGGUACCUUUAUCCUGGUAACAUUAUGAAUACGACUCACUUUGUAUUUGAUACAAAUACAAUGAUCCAAUGUGUUCAUGUAGUUGACAUGCGAGUGAAGGUAUCCUAUGCAAUGAGAUUGCAAUAGACUAGACUGUGAAAUAGUAACCACUUGGUGUUACUACAUUAACUAGUUAGGUUUCUAUUUCACUAGGAUGACCUAGAUAACUUAGUCUUAAUCUUGAGUGUAUUAUGAACUCAAUGAUCUUGGAUGAAUUUGACUUCAAAUACAAACUUGGAUUCCACAACCUAAACCAAAAUAAAAUAAUAUAUCAUGUUAAGAUGGAUUCACAUAGCAACAUUUUAUCAAAUGGUUGCAAUGUUUCAAAUAAGCAACAAUUAAAAUUCACAUAUCGAUUUGGCAUCUAUAAAUAUACAAACUAAAAAGUACCUAAAUGUCAAUUAUUUACCCAAUAAGGCUAACUAAGUAACCAACGUCUAAUAUGUUUUGCAAUGAAAAAGGUUGCCAUAUUGUUAAUUUGGCCAUAUUGUGAAGGCAACCUCUUAGAUGUGUUUGUGAGAAAGGAAAGAAAUACCAAAAUAAGUAUGGACUAAGAUAGUAUCAAAUAAAGUUAAAGUUGAAUUUUAAAGCUCUAUUUUUUUCAAGAUAGAGAAAUUUCAGCUAAAGAGGAAAACACUAAGGACAACCAAGCAAAAAAGUCUAACAAAUAUCAAAAGAGAACAUGCAGGAAAGAAAGAAUGUAAAUAAGGUUUUAUCCGCACCAAGCAAAAAAGUCUAACAAGUAUCAAAAGCUUCAUAAGUUGUACUAGAAUUCAAAGCUCUAAACUCUAAAGAAUGUAAAUUUCUUUGAAGAAAUUUGUGUAUAAAGGUCACACAGUUGAAAAUUCAAUACCUUUUCAAGAAUGUUGUUGAGAAGAUUAUUGUGAUGAAUCUUUGAAUCCAAAUUAUGGAGACAAGAUAAAUAAAUGAGUUCUGAUUCUAACUGACUGAAUGAGAGUUUAGAAAAUAAGAACAUUGGAGUUGAAUUAUCAGCAUUUAUUUUAAUCAAACUUACGAUAGCAAACCAAAUUAUAGAGAGAGAUCAAAUGCUAGGAUAAAGGAAUAAUCUUACAUUUGGUGAGUUCCCAAAUGUUGUGGUAGUCACGAGAGUUAUUCCACUCGAAUUGUCUUAGACAAGAGGCUUCCAUUCAGCAAGUACUGGUGAGAAUUAAAGUGGAAUGACAAACUUAAAAACACCUAAUCUUUAACAAACUUUUCCGACUUUUUGCAAUUAUUUUUUAACACAAGAUAUCAAAACACACUUAAAAACCAUAACAACCAAUUACCAUAAAACGGUGUCCAAUAACAAUAAUUGGGUCAACCCAAACAUCAUCAAAUUCUUGGGAAAGGUUGUGGACUAGACCUUCACCAUCUUGCCCCUAAAACAAGUUAAAGCUUAAGGAAAGAACACAGUAGAAACAAAAAUCAUAAACUCAUCAGUUAGAUAGUAUUGGUGGUCAAAACCUCAAGGUCUCACUUCUUCCAUUUUAUAUUACCAAAUUUGAAAAUGAUUUUUAAUAUAUGAUCAUUACUUGAAACAUGUUGGUGUACAAGUGUGAAUGAAACUAAAUCAAGUUUGUGUUUUAUGUUAUUGUUUUUGACAGUAUAUUUAUGUGCUAUGCAAUCCAUGAGAGUAUAUUUAUGUGCUAUGCAAUCCAGAAGGGGGAAUGCAAGCUAUACCCAAUUCAUAAUUGUAUUUGGAACACUAAUGAUUUUAGCACAAAUUCCAUCUUUCCAUUCUCUAAGACAUAUAAACCUUAUCUCCCUCACUCUAUACCUUGGCUAUAGUGCUCUUGCAACAUAUUAAAAUUCUCGUAAUUAAAAAUUCAUACACAAUUUAAAUUAAAUUAAACAUCAAGACCCCUGACGAAGAUGAAUCUCUGUUCAUUUUUCUUUUUAUUAACAAACAAAAGUUUUUAGGUCAACUUCUUUCAACAACCUCCUCAAGGAUCCUUAAUUAUCUCUUUCCAAGUUCAUAACCACUCUAGUCAUGCAAAGAUUAAGGUUCAUGGCCAAUCAACAAUUAAUCUGUGAUUAAGAUAUUAUGAACGCUAUUCACAUAAAAACAUGAAAAGAUUAAGAGCAAAUAAUCAGAUGCAUUACAAAGAAUAAUUCAUAAACUUUGUCUACAUCUAUCCCUAGGAUUAAGAGUUUAGCUACCCCAUACUUCACAAUCUAAAACACAAAACUCAAUACAAUACCCAUAAAAAAAAUUAAAGGAGAAGAAAAAGAAAACGAAGAAGAAAAGCUAGUGAUUCGUAUUAUUAUAAUACUGUGUAUAACAGUAUGUGUUUUUUAAUAUUCUCUGUUUCCAGCUCCAAUGUACCAAAAUAUUAUCACAAACUCCACAAUCCUUCUCUUUCCAAUCCCUAAACUAACCAAUGAAUCAUAUUCGCACGCUUGGUAGCCUUGUUCAAAAUAUUAUAUAUUACAAUUAUAAUAACUUGUAUCCCCCCUUUUCAAGCCUAAAAUGCAAAACCUUUCUUCCAUUCUCUAAGGCAUAUUUCCUCUUCUUUAAUUUUGCAUUCCAAUUUUAAAUUACAAAUUACAAAUUUUAAUCACAAAGGAAAAAAGGAAAAUUAUUACCUUUAGAAAGGGAAGAAAAUAAAUGAGUAACCAUGAAGGAUUUGGAAACGAAUAGAGGUUUAGCGAAAGUGGAAUGCGACAGAAGGACGGUGAAUGUGUUUACUCGUUUUCGAACAGAGAAUGUGUUUACGCAUUCCGAACGGUGAACAGACGGACGCAAAUCAACGAAGGUGAAGGGAACGCAAAGCAGACGGACGGUGACGGACGAUGAACGCAAAUGAAUGAAGGUGAAUGCUUAUGAACGCGAAGGGAAGUCUUUUCCGGCGAUGAACGCAGAUGAAUGCACAGAUGAACGCGAAGGGAAGGUUAGGUGAACGACGCUUUUGAUUUCGGGUGGAGAAGGGACAAAGUCGCGGCGAAUUAGGUUUAAUUAAGAAAAGGGGAAGUGAUCUAAUUGAAACGUUGGGUUUUGUAAAAGAAUAUUAACACAAUAAUUUUUUAGAAAUUUCUUGACGUUUUUAAAACGUCAAAAACAAAUUAAAAUUUCUUGAACUUUUUAAAACAUCAAUGAUUUUUUAGAAUUAUCUUGACGUUUUAAAAACGUCAAGAAUUUUUUAUAAAUUUCUUGACGUUUUUAAAAAUGUCAAGAACUUUUUAGAAUUAUCUCGACAUUUUAAAAACGUUAAGAAUUUUUAUAAAUUUCUUGAUGUUUUUAAAACGUCGAGGAAAACUAUAUAUUAUUGACGUUUAAAAAACAUCAAGAAAGUUGAAUUCAUAAACAUUCUUGACGUUUUUUAAACGUCAAAAAUUAUUAGAUAUUUCUUGAUGUUUAAAAAACGUCAAGAAAAAGUACAUCUUACUUGACGUUUAAUUGCAUAAAAAACGUCAAGAAAAAACGUCAAGAAAGUUGAAAAUUGGCCUUUCAUAAAAAUUCUUGACGCUUUUUUAUUUGAAAUCACAUCUUUCUUGACGUUUUUGGGAAAAAACGUCAAGAAAGGAAAACUACAACCGUCAAGAGAGCCUGUUUUUGUAGUAGUGAUUUUGGGGACAAGACUGAGUGGGGAGUUGGGAUUAUAAUUGCACAAAAUGGAAUUCACUCAUUUCCUACUGUAGGAUAAGUAGAUGAAUGUUAGCUUAAAUGGUGUCUCCAAAACUUAAACAAAGGGCCCGUACUCUCUCUAUGACAUGAGAGGGGUUUUUGUUUAUUAGUAGGACCAUAAACAAGUUGUUCAUUAGAGGAGCACUAGUUUUUAAGGAUUAGAGGUAACAUAGGGGUAAAGCGGUAAAUUGAUCCAACUGGUGUUACAAACACUCGUGAAGGACUAACUUACUAUUAUUGGUCUAUAUCCGUGGACACAGAAAUAUAUUUUUAGUGAGAAGAGUUCAGUUGUGAGUCUUUAGUGGAGUGUACACACAACUAACGAAUAUUGAUUAAUGUGGUUAAUGAGUUUAGCCAAUUAAUCUUAGAUCGUUGUAGCUUCUGAUCUGUAGGUCCACUAGGUCCCUUUCCUAGCUCGUAAAGGGUAAUGAGAUUUAUUUGUAUUAGUUGUAAUUUAAAAUGUUUAAAUUUAACUUGGGAAUUAGUAUAAUGUAUAGUGAUACAUUAUAAUAUAAAGUUUAUCAAACUUUACUAUAUAAAUUUAACUUUGGGGAUGAUUUAAAAUUAAUUUAUGAGAGAUAAAAUAUUUGAAUGAGUUCAAAUAUUAAUUUAAUGUAAAUUGGAUUCAUAUUAAAAUUAUUGAGAGAAACUUAUAUUUGAAUAUGAUUCAAAAUUAAUUUAAGUUAAAUAUAAGAUAAAUAAUUUAAUGUUAUUAGUUAAUUGGAGAAUUAAUUAAUAGUUUAGUUUAAUAUUAUUUAAUUAAAUGUGAUUUCAUUAAUUAUUAACUAAUUGAUUAAUGUUUAAUUAAUCAGUAGAUUUGAAAUAUAUAUUAAUUUAAUUGUUUGUAAAUUAAUAGAAUCUCAUAGUUCUCUUCUACUUCAUUUUUUAUUCCUAGAAGGAAAGAGAGUUAUAAUAUCUAGAAGAAAACAAUUUUCUUAAAAAAUGAAUAUAAUAAAAAAAGAAAAAAUAAGGCUAACGCUAUUGCUCUUUGCAAAAAGAAAAGAGUUUCUCUCAAUAUCUCUAAACUUUUUCCCAUCCCAAUUGGUUCCACAAACCAAUCUUAUCACAGAGGUACUCUUUGCAAUUUAAGCUCUCUUUGCAAUGGACAGUCUUCAAAGUUUUUUUAACGAUGUUUCUAAUGCUUUCCUUUCUCUCUCAUGUUUAAUAAAACAAAUUUCUCUUAAAACCUGUAGGGAGGCUACAUCGUAUCGAAUUUCAUACAACUGACGUGUUCAUCGAGUUACAACAAGUGCCGCACAAUAGUCUGUUCCAUGUUUGAAAAGUUGUGAGUGUGACACGCUGCACAUGAGGUUAGAACGAGACAUGGCAAGGCAAGCUCUACGCGCACCUGCCAACUUCUGCCACAAUAUUUUGUACGCAAGCUAAUGUCUUUGGGCUGUUUUUAUGGUAUUUGGAAAUUUUAAGCAAAGUUUUGAUAUUUUUAUGAUCAACAGGAAUUAAAUGGAAUUAUUUCCCAUUAUUUUCAUUAUUUUAGAUCAGAAGGAGAUCGAACAAAUUUAUAAGCCAAGGGUCCAAGCUACUCUCUAUAAGUGACAAAAAUGAGUUUAAAGUUGAUUUCUAAACAUGAAUUUACUAUCAAAUGUUUCAAGCAUGCUUUGAUGUUUGAAUAUUUGAGGAUACUGACUUAUAAAGUAUUUCCAAAGCAUGAAUUUAGAAACAUUUUGGUAAUGAAAAUUAUAAGCAAUCAUGAUUGUGCUAAGUUAUCAAAAUGUUUAAGCUUGAAAAUAAUAUUAGCAUGUUUUAGUCUAUACCUAAAAUAUUCUAAGAUAUAUAGCAACCCUUCGGGAGAGAUUUUCUUGUGCAUAGAGGUCAUUUGAUUUGGAUAUUCAGUAAAUACCUAGCUUUCCAUCAUUGGUAUUAGAUAAGAGAUGAAGACUUCUAAAGAUGCUUAGUUUCCCAUCUCAAGGGACGAGACCCUGUACGAAUGCCUAGUUUCCAUCUCAUUGUAGUUAUAACGAGAUAGGGCACAAUUGAUGCCUAGAGUUUCAUCUCGUAAGUAUCGUAUCACGGGAUAGGGCUUCUAUGCCUAGUUUAUUGUUUUUCGUCUUGACGAUUCUAGUAUAGCAACUGAAAGGGAAAGUUUGAGAUAAGUUGUUUGAGUUUGAUUUCAUUUAUGUUAAGAGUUAAUUGUUAAAUACUUAUUAUUUCAAACAAUGUUUUAUAAAACAAUCACUCAUUGGGCUAUUUAGCUCACUCUUUGGAUAAAUAUCCCCAUAUGGAUUACGUUGUUUGGAAAAUUAAACUGUCUUUAGUACUUCAAAGAAAACUUCCCUCCCAUGUCCUCUCACCUCAUGUCAUCCCAUUUGUGUUGAUAACAUGAAAAAUAUUUAGCACCUUUUAAUUGAUUAUGUCUUUGUAUCGAAAUGUUGGUUCCGUCUUCUCCAAACAUUCAAUAUUUGUUGGGAUUUUUUGCUCAAUCAAGGCUUAUUCUUGUUUGUUCUCGACCUGCUACCUAUGAUUUAUGAUUUUGUUUUGGACAUAUUAUUUUAUCAUUUUGUUUGGUUUUAUAUUUGUGGCUUUUUUUUUGUUUUGUUUUGUGUUUUGUUUUUUUUUUUUUUUGAAAAGGAGACAACCUCUUUAUUAAUAUUAAAAUAAUAAAAUAAUUAGACAAAAGCUCAUGGUACAAGAGAGUUAUACAAUGAACAUGUAACCAUGGAUCAGAGGGUGCACCUUGGCAUCUCAACUAGGUUGACACCCCCAUAGCACCCUCAUCAUAUCCAACCAAGCUAAAACCCAUAACAAAGGAGUAAUGUCCAAAGGCAAAACAAACACAAAAAAAGCCUUCUAUUUGUGGCUUUUGUUUUGAUCUUGUGUUGUCGCUUUUUGGAUGUGAUGAGGGCGCUAAGGGGGUGUCAACACUCAAACCUUAUGACGUAACAAAUGCAAAUUUUAUGACGUUUUUAGGGGUAGUCCCUCCCAUUACUAGCUCAACACUCAAACGGAGUCUCCUGUAUAAAAUAUAAAAUAAUACAGACACAAAUAGUGAAUGAAAUCUUAUGACGUAACAAAUGCAAAUUUUAUGUAUACUGCAAUUGACUAAAUAUUGAACAAGAAAGCCCAAGGGAAUACAAAAAAAUCCAACGUUUUUAGGGGUCAAUUUGAAAAAUGGCAAAAUUACUUUUUCUUUUCAAUUUUAGCAAACAACAUUUUUUGCACGUGCAUGGUAUUUUAUAAAAUACCAGAAUAUCAACAUUCUUCAACUGUAGUUAUUUCGUUUCUACAUUGUAAUUAAUUUAUGUUAUGCAUUUAUCAGUUUUUAAUUAUCUUUUACUUGAAAUAGAUACAUCAACUCAUAUCAUAAUAUUUUUCUUAAUAUCUCGAGUCUCAACUAAUUAAUUCACAUAUUAAUAACUUUAUUCAAUCAUACUAAUUUCAAAAUAACCUAAUUGAAUUUGAAUUUCAAAAUAACAAAAUUAUUAUUUUUCGGAAUUUGAGAGUCUCAACGAUAGAUUUUGUAUUAAAAUAACCUUAAUUGAAUUUCAAAAAUAAAAAAUAUCAACAUGUUCACUAUCUUUAUCUCAAAAUAACAUUAAUGCCUUGAAUAUCAAGAUAAUUAAAUUAUUAUUUAAAAUUGGAAGAAACUCAACAUUAAAAAAUAUUAACUUGUUCGCACACAAGCAUAGAAGCACUGCGCACACACGUACACAUGCACACUUACACACACGCGCACACACGCACAUCUACACACAGACACCCACAGACACACGAACGCAUGCACAUACACAUGCACACGCGCACGCAUGCACAUACACAUGCACACGAGCACGCAUGCACACGCACACACCUAUCCACACGCGCGCACAAGCACACACACAUGCACAAACGCACACACGCGUACGCACAAACGCACACACUUAUACACAUACGCACACGCGCACAAACACGCACGCACGAGCACACACACACCUAAGCACACACGCAAUAGCCUGCGCACACACACGCACGCACAAACACAUACAAACAUGCACACACCCACACAUAUAUGCACACGGACACUCGCAACAAACGCACGCACAUACACAUACGCACACCUACCUACACGCACACACGUACACACGCACAUAUGCAUAAAGAUGUAUAAAUGAGUUAAAAUUAAAAAAAAACUACAUUAAUUGUGUUUAGAAGGACUUUUAAACCAUGUUCAUUUGACUUAAUAACAUUAAUUAAACUAUAAUUUCUAUCAAUAUUGGCUUAAAAAGUGUCAUUCGUGUAAUUAUUUCAAUAUAAUGCGAUUUUAUCCAAUUCUAUUUGCAACAAACAGGUCGAAUAUGAACCAGUAGAUAUACAUGUCAUAAGAGAUAUAGGAACAUUUUUAUGGUCAUUUUGAAAAAUGCAAAACUUUUUGUAACGACCCAACUUUUCUAGGUAAGUCGAGGUCAUUAAUUUUUAAUAAAAGACUUUGUUGAUACAAAAUGAAGCGUAAGUCAAUUUAAAAAAAAAUAUGUCAGGCCUGAUUUUCAAAUAUCAAGAAAACUUAAAAAUAACACUAUUUACAAAUAAAAGUUUGUAAACUAAGUUUUUAGUACAUCUUAAACCUUAAAAGAAACAUAAGCGGAAGCAAAAUACACAUUUCCUAUGGCAAUCACGCUUCCUUCCUGCCCCUCGCCGGUUUGCCACCUUUAUUUCCUUUGCCUGAAAAUUAAACAUAAGAAGGGUGAGUAUUUUAAAUACUCAGUAAGAGACCCUAUACUGGUCUCGUCAGGGAAAAUAAAUUGUUAAAGUUCUAUUGGGACACCCUGUACAGUCGCAGUCUUGUGAUCCCGUAGGAUACACAUUCAGUCUAACGCCCCGAAGGACGUACAUAUCAGUCUGACGCCCCGAGGGACGUACAUAUCAGUCUAACGCCCCGAGGGACGUACAUAUCAGUCUAACGCCCCGAGGGACGUACAUAUCAGUCAAGUGUUCUGCAGAAACACAUAUCAGUCAAAUACUCCCGAAGGUGCAAAAUAAAUUGGUGAUCCCGUGGGACACCUACAAGGUAAACAUCCCAAUACAACCUAACAAUUUAUCCCCUCAUUCCAUUCAACCCAUCUUUCAGUUACUUCAAAUCACAAAGUCCUUUCUUUCAACAUCCUAACAGUCAACUUAUUUUACUACAGUCAUAUGUCUGUCAAUAAUAUGCUAAUACAUCAGUCAAUCACUAUACAGUCAAGUCAAUACACCCCUCAGUUCACCAGCACAAACCACAGUUCAGUAUAAUCCACAUCCAACUGAAACAAAUUCACUAGUUCACAUCCAAUCUUUAUACAGCACAAUCUAUUAAUAUCAUCAUGUACACAGAAGCAUAAUUUCAGUCAUUCACAUGUAUACUUUCGGCAAUCCACAUCAAUUCACACAUCAAUGUAUAUAUAUAUGUUUCCAGUCAAAUACAACAUACACUAAACAUUUAGUCUGCAAUCAAACAUGUACAUCUUAAUCAUCAUCCAUACAGUCCAACACAACUCAAAAACUUUAGGUAAGUCCAGUAGAAAAUCCCUUACCUCACUUUUAUGCAAGUUCUUCAAUCUACUAAAUCCAAUGAAUCAAAUCCUAAACAUAAUCAAUCAUAAAAUCAACAUCUUUCUAAAUAGUUUCAACCAUUCAAAUUACCCCAUAUGUAAAUUCCACAACUUACCCAAGAAGUGGAAAAUCAAGUCCACUUCAACCUUUUGGAAAAUCAAGGAUUCGCUCACUGAAUCAAGAUGUACCUUCAAGAAUUAAGCAUUUCGCCAACAAUUAAAUCCAAUGGCAGCAUCCAACAAAAACCAAGAAACCAACAAAAACCAUAACUUGUUCUUACCCAAAUAUGAGCCCAAUGGUUCACGGCGAGGCAGAUCUGGACGACGAUUUGCUUUGCGAGGGAGGCACGACGGUUGUGAGCGAGAGGCACGACGGUUACAGGCGGAUGGGCGCGACGGUUUAGAUCUGAAGAAGAAAAGAGAGGGUGGCGGUUGGGUUCGGCGAGCGGCGGCGGUUUUGCUUCGCGAACGGAGAUGGAGACGGCAAUUCGGCGCGCGGGACGACUGCAACGCAAAUCUGGACUGGCAGCGGCACGGUCUUGCUUCGCGGCUGGGUAUGGUGAAAAAGAAAGAGAAACGGAAGAAGAGAAGUCUCGGGUGGCGGUUGCUGGGCUACGGCGGUUGCUGGGCUGCGGCGGAAGGAGAAAAUGGAAGGAAGAGAUCGGCGGAAAGAAGGAGAAGAUGGAUGGGAGUCACGAUCGCACGGGAAGAAGAAGGGAGAAAAGAAAAGAAAAGAAAAGAAGAAAAGAAAAAUAAUAAAGAAAUUUUUAAUAUAAAGUAAAAUAAAAAUAUAUAUAUAUAUAUAUAUAUAUAUAUUACCUUUUUGGGCAUUACAUUCUUCCCUCCUUAAGAAACUUUCGUCCUCGAAAGUUCUAAUCCUGAAAUAACUCUGGAUAACGAGUCCUCAUUUCUUCCUCUCGCUCCCAUGUCGCCUCUUCAAUUCGAUGAUUCCGCCACAAAACCUUUACUAAUGGAAUGCUUCUAUUACGAAGCAUCUUUACCUCUCUAGCCAAAAUCUCCACAGGUUGUUCAACAUAGCUCAAAUGCUCGUCAAUCUCCAAGGUUCAUAGUCCACUACAUGAGAUGUAUCGGCCACAUACUUCCUCAACAUCGAAACAUGGAAAACAUUAUGAACUGCAGAGAGAGAUGGUGGUAAUGCCAAGCGAUACGCCACAACACCAACCCUCUCUAAGAUCUCAAAUGGUCCAACAAAACGAGGACUUAACUUUCCCUUCUCAAAACGCAUAACACCCUUCAUAGGUGCUACCUUCAAGAAUACCUUUUCUCCCACAUCGAACUUAAGGUCUUUUCGCCGUACAUCUGCAUAACUCUUCUGUCUACUCUGCGCUGUUUGCAUACGCGUCCUAAUCGUUUGAAUAGCCUCAUUAGUAGACCGAACUAAUUCAGGUCCCAUCAAUCUAUGUUCACCAACCUCACUCCAACAAACAGGGGUUCUACAACAUUUGCCAUACAAAGCCUCAAAUGGUGCCAUACCGAUGGUAGCCUGGAAACUGUUGUUAUAAGCAAACUCCAUCAAAUGUAGAUGAGAGUCCCAACUACCUGGAAACUCUAUAACACAAGCUCGUAGCAUAUCCUCUAAAACUUGGUUCAAACGUUCAGUUUGACCAUCAGUCUGUGGAUGAAAGGCUGUACUGAAAUCCAAUCUCGUACCCAUAGCAGUCUGAAGUCCCUUCCAAAACUUGGAAGUAAACCGUGCAUCCCUAUCAGAAACAAUCGAUACAGGCACUCCAUGCAGUCUCACAAUCUCAGUUAAAUACAACUCUGCCCACUUACUAGCAGUAUAAGUGGAUUUUCCUGGUACAAAAUGUGCCGAUUUCGUAAGCCUGUCUAUGACAACCAGAAUCACUGUGAAACCCUUCAGGGUCUUAGGCAGCCCUGAAAUAAAAUCCAUCGACACAUUCUCCCACUUCCACUCUGGCACACUUAAGGUUGUAAUAAACCUGCUGGUUUCUGUCUAGGUGCCUUAACUUGCUGACAUACUAGACACUUACUAACAAAUUCCGCCACUUCCCUUUUCAUAUUCCGCCACCAAUAAAAUCGUUUUAGAUCCUGAUACAUUUUCGUGCUACCAGGAUGCAUGGAAAAUGGGGAAUUAUGGGCUUCAUCUAGUAAGUCAAUCUUAACUGUACUGUUCGCUGGCACACAUAAACGUCUCUCAAACAUCAACCCACCAUCAGAGGAUAUGGAGAACUCAUCAGUCUGCCCUGUUUCAACAAGGCGACGUCUCUCCAUCAAAUAAGGAUCAUUACUCUGAGCAUCAACAAUCUUGUGCCUCAGAGUCGGUUGCACCGUUAAUUGAGCUAGCUGUGAGGUGACUCUCCCCACAGACACUGCAAUCUCAGCUCUCUCCAAGUCUCGAUGCAAUGGUACCUGUCUAGUAAUGAGUGCUGCCGAAUGUGAUACUUUUCUACUAAGAGCAUCAGCCACCACAUUCGCCUUACCAGGAUGGUAUAAUAUCUCACAGUCAUAAUCUUUUACCAACUCGAGCCACCUUCGCUGUCUCAUAUUCAACUCCUUCUGAGUGAAGAAGUACUUUAGGCUCUUAUGGUCAGUAAAGAUUUGUAUCUUUUCACCGUACAAGUAAUGUCUCCAUAUCUUCAAUGCAAAAACCACUGCUGCCAACUCCAAAUCAUGUGUGGGGUAGUUCUGCUCGUGACUCUUCAACUGACGAGAGGCAUAAGCAACCACCUUACCUUUCUGCAUCAAAACACAACCCAGUCCUUUCUUGGAAGCAUCACUGUAAAUCACAAAACUUCCAGAUCCAUCUGGUACAGUAAGGACCGGUGCAGUAACUAACCUUUGCUUUAAGUUCUGAAAACUAUCCUCACAAGCUGGACUCCAAACAAACGGAGUUCCCUUCCUUGUCAACUGAGUCAAAGGAGUAGCCAAACGUGAAAAAUCCUCCACAAACCUCCGGUAAUACCCUGCUAAACCCAGAAAACUACGAACCUCACUAACUGUGAGGGUCGAGACCAACUGGUAACCGCUUCUAUCUUUGCAGGGUCUACUGAAACUCCCUCACUGGAAACCACAUGACCAAGAAAAGCCACCUGCUUCAACCAAAAUUCGCACUUAGAACUUAGCAUACAGUUUAUUGACUCGAAGAGUCUCUAACACCUUAUGUAAGUGUUCCUCAUGUUCGGCUUCAGUCUUGGAAUAAACCAAAAUAUCAUCAAUGAAGACUAUCACAAAAGUGUCCAAGAAAUCCUUAAACACCCUGUUCAUCAAAUCCAUAAAUACAGCAGGUGCAUUAGUCAAACCAAAAGACAUUACUAUGAAUUCAUAAUGUCCAUACCUCGAACGAAAAGCAGUCUUAGGAAUAUCACGGUCUCUAAUCCUCAACUGGUGAUAACCUGACCGUAAGUCAAUCUUAGAGAACACCGUGGCUCCCUGUAACUGAUCGAACAAAUCAUCGAUUCUGGGUAAAGGAUACCUGUUCUUGACUGUUACUUUAUUCAACUCUCUAUAGUCAAUGCAAAGACGCAUCGACCCAUCCUUCUUCUUCACAAACAAUACUGGUGCACCCCAAGGUGACACACUAGGUCGAAUAAAGCCUUUGUCAAGCAAUUCCUGUAACUGUACCUUCAGUUCUUUCAACUCAGCAGGAGCCAUCCUAUAAGGGGCUCUAGAAAUAGGAGUAGUGUUUGGCUCCAACUCAAUGGCAAAAUCAAUCUCUAUGUGGCGCAGUCCUGGAAGAUCUUUUGGAAAUACAUCUGGGUAUUCUCUUACCACAGGUUCUGAAGUUAAAGAAGUCUCACCUUCCCUAGUAUCCACCACACUUGCCAAAAUACUCCAAGUACCCUGGCUGAGUAGUUUACUAGCUUUCAUAGCUGAGAUUACUUUAGGCAGUACUACUGUUCCUACUCCCUUGAAUUUAAAGCUAGAUGCAGUAGGGGGACUAAACACAACUUCCUUACGAGAACAAUCAAUACUAGCAUGAUUAGUAGCUAGCCAAUCCAUACCUAAAAUUACAUCAAAGUCACGCAUAUCUAAUACCAACAAGGUUACGUCCAGCACACGACCAGCUAUCUCAAUUUCACAUGCUUUAAUCUUUUCCUUAGACAACAUAAUUUCUCCAGACGGUGUAGACACUGACAAAACAUAGUCUAAGGGUUCCACCUCUAAGCAUGCAUGCGUCACAAAAAGCGAUGAAAUAAAUGAAUGAGAAGAUCCCGAGUCAAACAAGGUCAAGGCAAAAUGCCCUAAUACUGGUAAUGUACCUGUCACUACUGUGCCGGCCUUCUCUGCCUCUGAUCUAUUAGUGGCAAAGAUUGUACCCCGCUGUGGAGGUCUCUCUCCCUGACUGCUCGAUCCAGCCCCAGUAGAUCUCAAGGGACACCUAUCAGCCAUGUGUCCCUCUUGCUUGCACUUAUAACAGACUCUCGUUCCCAUCAAACAACGACCCAGGUGGCGUUUCCCACACGUAUUACAUACUGGCCUCUCUUGAGUAGUGUCUCCUGCACCGCCAGAACUCUGCUGGAAACUGCGAAAAGAAUCACCUGGUCUCAUGUUCCUCUGAGGAACUCCUACAGUUCUCUGCUCUACUUUUCUCUUUUGACCGACGACGAUCCCUUAUUAAAGCUCCUUGGCUGUCUUUCAUCCUUCCCAAUACUCAUAUCCACUGCCAGACGCAGUGCUUCAGCUUGGGUAGUGGGCUUUAGUGCUCGCACAAAACCCCUAAUUUCAUCUCUCAAUCCCUUGACGAACCUAUCAGCUCUAGCCUGCUCAUUACUAACAAGCUCAGGGGCAAAACGUGACAGCAUAUCAAACUCCUGGUCGUACUCCUCGACUGUCAUAUAUCCUUGCUUCAACUCCAAGAAUUCCUGGCUUUUGGCGUCUCUAAGGUUAGCCGAGAAAAACUUGGUAUAGAAGCAGUUCUUAAACUGAUCCCAGGUAAUUUGCCUCACAUCUCCACCUAGCAUGCGCAUUGUAGUCCUCCACCAGAUAAUGCCUCUGUCCCUCAGUAGAAAAGCAGCACACUGAACUCUGUGCUCCUCGGACAUCUCAUGUAAUUAAAUAUGGUUUCCACAGAGGACAACCACAUUUCAGCUUUAGUAGGAUCCUCCAGUGACCCAUCAAACGUCUGAGGGUCAUACUUCCGAAAGUCCCUCAAAUGUUUCGCCUCAGCAGAAAGUUGGUUAGGUAAUUCUUGUGCAGGAGGGGCUGCUGGUGCAGGGGAACUACAGGUGCAGGUGGAACCAGGUGCCUGCUGGUUUUGAGCUAUAGCUGUCAUAAGUUCUGUAAACCUCUGCUCCAUGUGAGCAGACAGUGCAUCAAACUCAACGUGAGUCACGGGUGCAGCAGGAAUUCGCUGUUCAGCUUGACCCUCAGUAGGCUGAUUACGACCUGCUCCUCUACCUCGGCCUCCUGCUCUCUACGACCUCCUCUACGUACUUCUUCCCUUGGCGGCAUAAUUCCUAUUACCACCAACAACACUCUUUAACAAAAUCUUAAUCAUAAACAUAAGCAAGUCUUUAUCGUCAUGCAAUCUAGUUUAAUUUAGGCAAGGUCAUGCAAAUAAACCAUACAUAUAAGCAUCAAGCAUACCUGACGAGAGACGAAGGGUCGCGUUAGCCAUAGGAACACAAAAACAUAGACUUACAUCGUAAGUCAGUCUACAGAACCUAAAACUUAGGCUCUGAUACCAACUGUAACGACCCAACUUUUCUAGGUAAGUCGAGGUCAUUAAUUUUUAAUAAAAGACUUUAUUGAUACAAAAUGAAACGUAAGUCAAUUUAAAACAAUCUAUGUCAGGCCUGAUUUUCAAAUAUUCAAGAAAACUUAAAAAUAACACUAUUUACAAAUAAAAGUUUGUAAACUAAGUUUUAGUACAUCUUAAACCUUAAAAGAAACCAUAAGCGGAAGCAAAAUGACACAGUUCCUAUGGAAUCACGCUUCCUUCCUCCCCCUCGCCGGUUUGCCACCUUUAUUUCCUUUGCCUGAAAAUUAAACAUAAGAAGGGUGAGUAUAACAAUACUCAGUAAGAGACCCUUACUGUCUCCGUCAGGGAAAAAUAAUUGUUAAAGUUCUAUUGGGACACCCUGUACAGUCGCAGUCUUGUGAUCGCGUAGGAUACACAUUUCAGUCUAACGCCCCGAAGGACGUACAUAUCAGUCUAACGCCCCGAGGGACGUACAUAUCAGUCUAACGCCCCGAGGACGUACAUAUCAGUCUAACGCCCGAGGGACGUUCAUAUCAGUCUAGUGUUCUGCAGAAACACAUAUCAGUCAAAUGCUCCCGAAGGUGCAAAAUAAAUUGGUGAUCCUGGGACACCUACAAGGUAAACAUCCCAAUACACAACCUAACAAUUUAUCCCUCAUUCCAUUCAACCCAUCUUUCAGUUACUUCAAAUCACAAAGUCCUUUCUUCAACAUCCUAACAGUCAACUUAUUUUACUACAAUCAUAUGUCUGUCAAUAAUAUGCUAAUACAUCAGUCAAUUCACUAUACAGUCAAGUCAAUACACCCCUCAGUUCACCAGCACAAACCACAGUUCAGUAUAAUCCACAUCCACACCGAACAAAUUCACUAGUUCACAUCCAAUCUUUAUACAGCACAAUCUAUUAAUAUCAUCAUGUACACUAAGCAUAAUUUCAGUCAUUCACAUGUAUACUUUCGCAAUCCACAUCAAUUCACACAUCAAUGUAUAUAUAUAUGUUUCCAGUCAAAUACAACAUACACUAAACAUUUAGUCUGCAAUCAAACAUGUACAUCUUAAUCAUCAUCCAUACAGUCCAACACAACUCAAAAACUUUAGGUGAGUCCAGUAGAAAAUCCCUUACCUCACUUUUAUGCAGUUCUUCAAUCUACUAAAUCCAAUGAAUCAAAUCCUAACAUAAUCAAUCAUAAAAUCAACAUCUUCUAAAUAGUUUCAACCAUUCAAAUUACCCCAUAUGUAAAUUCACAACUUACCCAAGAAGUGAGAGAAUCAAGUCCACUUCAACCUUUUGGAAAAUCAAGGAUUCGCUCACUGAAUCAAGAUGUACCUUCAAGAAUUAAGCAUUUCGCCAACAAUUAAAUCCAAUGGCAGCAUCCAACAAAAACCAAGAAACCAACAAAAACCAUAACUUGUUCUUACCCAAAUAUGAGCCCAAUGGUUCACGACGAGGCAGAUCUGGACGACGAUUUGCUUUCCGAGGAGGCACGACGGUUGUGAGCGAAGAGGCACGGCAGUUACAGGCAGAUGGCGCGCGACGGUUUAGAUCUGAAGAAGAAAGAGAGGGUGGCAGUUGGGUUCGGCGAGCGGCGGCGGUUUUGCUUCGCGAACGGAGAUGGAGACGGCAGUUCGGCGCGCGGGACGAUGCAACGCAAAUCUGGACUGGCAGCGGCACGGUCUUGCUUCGCGGCUGGGUAUGGUGAAAAAGAAAGAGAAACGGAAGAAGAGAAGUCUCGGUGCGGUUGCUGGGCUACGGGCGGUUGCUGGGCUGCGGCGGAAGGAGAAAAUGGAAGGAAGAGAUCGGCGGAAAGAAGGAGAAGAUGGAUGGAGUCAGAUCGCACGGGGAAGAAGAAGGGAGAAAGAAAAGAAAAAGAAAAAGAAGAAAAAAAAAUAAUAAAGAAAUUUUAAUACUAAAGUAAAAUAAAAAUAUAUAUAUAUAAUAUAUAAUAUAUAUAUAUAUAUUUACCUUUCUUUGGGCAUUACAUUUUUUUUUUAAUUUUAGCAAAUAACAUUUUUUGCACGUGCAUAAUAUUUAUAAAAUACCAAAAUAUCCACAUUCUCCAACUAAAAUUAUUUUGUUUCUAUGUUGUAAUUAAUUUAUAUUAUGCAUUUAUCAACUUUUAAUUAUUUUUUACCUGAAAAAAGAUACAUAAACUCAUAUAUAUACUUUUUUCUUAAUAUCUCGGGACUCAACUAAUGGAUUCAAGACUUUAACUUUAUUUAAUCUUACUAAUUUCAAAAUAACCUAAUUGAAUUUGAAUUUCAAAAUAACCAAAUUGAAUUUCAACAUAACAAAAUUAUUAUUUUUCAAAUUUGAUAAUCUCAGAAAUAGAUUUUGUAUCAAAAUAACUUUAAUUGAAUUUCAAAAUUAAAAAAUAUCAACUUAUUCACUCUUUAUCUCACAAUAAUAUUAAUGGCUUGAAUAUCAAGAUAAUUAAAUUAUUGUUUUUAAAAUUGGGAGAAACUCAACAUUAAAAAAUAUCAACUUAUUCACACACAAUCACACGCGCACACACAUACAUACACUUGCACGCACGUGCACCCAUACACGCACACACACACGCGUGCACACACACACACACACACAAACGCACACAUGCACACGCACACCAAACCGCACGCACACAAAUACACACACACACGCACACUAAUGGUUCAAUUUCAUCGAUUGUUCCUAUUUUUCUGACAGUUUAUUUUUGCCAUCGAUAGAGGAUCUUCCGACAGACCUGCGUGACGGUGUGUGUUGACAGCUUAAUUUCGUUGGCAAAAGAAAAGUCGAUUAGUUUUUGAAGAUUUACUGACGAUAUUUGUCAUCGACAAAGGGUAAAUUUCUUGUAGUGCAUGUACAUCAAACAUAUCAAAUUUGUUAAGUGUACCAAUGAAGUAUAAGAAGUUUAUUAGUGGUGUAUCAAGCGUAUCAAACUUAUAAGUGAAGUCUUUAAGUGUAUCAAACUAAUCAAGUGUAUCAAGGUCUCAGGGUAUCAAGUGUAUCAAGAAGAAUCAAGUGUAACGAGAAGUAUUAUGUGGAACGAGAAGUAUUAUGUGUAUGAAGAUGUUUCAGGUGUGUAUCAAAAAGUAUCGAGUGUAUCAAUGAGUACCGAGUGCAUGAAUUGUAUCUAUCAAAUGUAUCAAGUGUAUCAGUAAGAAAUAUCAAGUGUAUCAAGCGGUAUUAGGUGUAUCAGACGUGUAUAAGGUGUAUCAAAUGUACAUCAAUAACGAGGGCAUUUGUGACAUUUUACCUCUUGAUGUGUGAGUUGGUCUUUGUUUUUGUCAUUUUCUCAAAUAAUAAAGUAUGUGUUCUAUGAACUUAAUUAUUAUAACUUACACUACUACAAAAACAGGCUCUCUUGACGUUUGCAGUUUUCCUUUCUUGACGUUUUUUUCAAAAAACGUCAAGAAAGAUUUCAUUUUUAAUAAAAAACGUCAAGAAAUUUUUUGAAACAUCAUUCUUGACGUUUAUUAAAUGUCAAGUAAAAUAAAUUUUUCUUUGACGUUUUUAAAACAUCAAGAAAUAUCUAUUAAUUUUUUGACGUUUUAAAACGUCAAGAAGCGUAUGAAUUCGACAUGCUUGACGUUUCUUAAACGUCAAGAAUUUAAAAUUUUACUCGACGUUUUAAAAACGUCAAGAAAUUCAUAAAAUAUUCAAGAAUAUUUUUUAAAUUACACUGAGAAGGUAUCGAAUUUUAAUUUUCAGCUCUAACAUUUUUCCUAAUCUACUUUUUUCUUCUUCACGACUGAGUAUUCGAGGGAGUCAUUUUUUGAAUUUGUUGACAUUUUUUAAACGUUAAGUAAGAUCAUUUUUUUUUUUACAUUUUAAAAAUGUCAAGUGUUAUUAAAUAAAUAUAAAAAAUAUAUUGGGCUAAUUUUAUUUCUUUAAAAUCUCUUUAAAUAUAUAGAUACAAUAAUAAAAAUCUCUUUAAAUAUAUAGAUACAACAAUAAAAAUUUCUUUAAAUAUAUAUAGAAAAAAAAUAUUGUACUAAUAUUAUUCAGAAUCACUUUAAAUAUAUAUAGAAAAAAUUAUUGUGCAAAUAUUAUUUUUUAAAAAGCCCUAGCCCCUUUCUACUCAAAACACGCGUGUUCCCCUUUCCCUCUCCAGCCGAAAUCCUUCCCAUUCGAAAAAAGUGUGUUCAGCAGUCGUCGUUCGCUUUCAACGCCUAUCCGUUCGCCUUCAACGUCUGUCCGUUCGAUUUCACCGUCGAGUUCCACCUCUUCGAAUCCCUCACGUCCGUCGUUUCAAAGUCCUUCGUCCGCUGCAUUCCAUCUUUCCAAAAUCCCUCAGUGCCUCACGCUACUGCGUGCCCGUCAUUUCGACUUCACCAACGAGUGCCUCACGUUCGUUGCUUCAAAAUCCAUCAUCCACUAAGUUGAGGUUAGGCUUUUAUUUCCCUAAAACAUAUAACAAUUUCAUUAUUCUUCAUUAUAUAAACUCAGAUGGCAUGAUUGGCAAUAAUAGAUAGGAAGGAUGGAGGUGUAAACUUCGAAUUGAUUGAAAUUCGUAUACUUUUAUUCAAUCUUUAAAGUACUGUAGUUUUUCUUCACCAUCAAAUUUUAUUAGGAUUUAAAGAAAACAAAUGAAUGUAUGAACAAAUUUUUGGGAGUGCAUGUCAUAUAAUCAACUUCCCUCUUUCAGUAAUUUUGAAGAUCUCAUAUAACAAUACUACUAAUUGAGAGCUUUGGAGGAUGAGUCAAUUCUUCUCCCUUCGUGAAAAGAAAAAGAAAAAAAGAUCAUGUAUUCUCUUUGUUUGUUACCUUAUGUUGUCCAAGGUUUUGCCUUCUUCCUUAAUAAUUUGGAGGUGUUUUAACUAAUUUUUUCAUUCACCCUCUUUUUGCCAUAGUUGCUUUUGUGUGCAGCUUGAGAUUUUUAAUUCAAUUGUGUGUUUUUACUUUUUUCUAUUGGGUGAAUUCUGUUUUGACUUUUUUUAAGCUAAAUAUAAUUAAUUGUUUCCUAUGGAACCAUAACCUUGAUCUUGGUUAUAGAUUUCAUUUUAAGGUAAAAGUAAAACACUCUUAUUUGAAUGAUUAUGUUGUAUUAUCCAUUGAAAGACUUGGUGUUGUAAUUGCCUUGUCUUCCUCAGGUAUUCUGUUGUAUGGUUGAUUACGAUCUUCAUGAUUGGAAUCUUUGUUUAGUGAAGCUCAUUUUGUUUGAUUUACUCAGUCGUGCAAUUGCUUUCUUUUUUAUGAUCACUUUAAAAAAGAAAUGAGUUUAGUUAGUUCUUUUAAUUUUCUUAAGUUUCAUUUGUAAUGCAUGAAAAUCUCUUAGCAGUAGAAACUGAAGACCAUAAUUGUAGAAGAUUUGUAUAGAUUGGAUUCACAUUCUCAACAUUGGUUAUACAGGCAUUACUUAUCAUUGUCCUUCCACUUUAAUUAUCAAUAGUGACAAUAACUUUAUUUCUCAUUAGAUUUACAAUGAUGGAUAAAUCUUGGAUGCACAAGAGUAGAUUGUCUAAAGAUUAUGAGUUGGGUGUGGAAAACUUCAUCAAAUUUGGAUUUUCUAAUACAACUAGCUCCUAUAUUCGUUGUCCUUGUUUGAAAUGUGGGAAUUGUGAAAAACAUAGUAGAAAGGGUGUUAGAGAUCACUUGUAUGUUAAUGGUAUUGAUGAAAGUUAUAAAUUUUGGUUUUGGCAUGGGGAAGAACUUCCUAACUCAUCCUUCUAUGAUGAAUCUUCAAAGUUUGACACCCAUACAUGUGAAGAUCAGGAUGUUGGAAGUGUAAAAGAAAUGAUUGAAGUUGCUCAUGAGGAGUAUUCAAAAGACCCAACUGGAUUUGAGAAGUUGCUUAUUGAUGCUGAAAAACCAUUGUACGAAGGAUGCAAAAAGUACACAAAGUUGUCUACUCUAGUCAAAUUGUAUAAUUUAAAAGUUAGGUAUGGAUAGAGUGAUACUAGUUUUUCAGAAUUACUUGAAACUUUGAAGGAAAUUCUGCCUAAUACCAAUGAGCUCCCGAAUUCAUUGUAUGAAGCAAAGAAAACAUUAGGUGCAUUAGGAAUGGAAUAUGAAAAGAUUCAUGCAUGCCCGAAUAAUUUUGUCUCUAUAGAAAAGAAUUUGCUAAUGCAAUUGAAUGUCAUGAAUGUUGUCAAUCAAGGUGGAAAAACGUCAAGGAUACAAAUGAAAGGAGAAAGCAAAUUCCCUCUAAAGUGAUAUGGUACUUUCCAAUCAUUCCACGAUUUAAAAGGCUAUUCAGAAGCAUUGAAUGUGCUGAAAACUUGACUUGGCAUUCUACUGAAAGAAUUAAUGAUGGUAAGUUACGACAUCCAGCCAGACUCUCCAGCAUGGAAGUUAGUAGACAUGAAAUGGCAAGACUUUGGUUCUGAACCCAUAAAUCUUCGUUUAGCAUUGUCAGCCGAUGGAGUAAAUCCUCAUGGUGACAUGAGUUCUAAAUACAGUUGUUGGCCGGUAGUGAUGGUUAUUUACAAUCUUCCACCAUGGUUGUGUAUGAAAAGAAAGUACAUGAUGCUAUCAAUGCUAAUUUCAGGACCAAAACAACCAGGGGAUGACAUAGGCAUAUACUUAGCACCACUAAUUGAAGAUUUAAAACUUUUAUGGGAAAGUGGUGUUGAAUGUUAUGAUGCUUAUCGAGAAGAACCAUUCAACUUAAGGUCAGUUUUGUUGUGGACAAUCAAUGAUUUUCCUGCAUAUGGUAACCUUAGUGGAUGUUGUGUGAAAGGGUAUAAAGCAUGCCCAAUUUGUGGAGAUAAUACAAAUUCUAUAAGGUUAAAGUAUGGGAAGAAAAUGGCAUACCUUGGACAUCGUAGAUUUUUGGCACGAAAUCAUCUGUAUCGACGACAAAAGAAGUCAUUCAAUGGUAAAAAAGAACUUGAUACAAUUCCAGAGCCACUUUAUGGGGAGGAUGUGUAUUUAAAAUUGAAAGAUCUUGAAUUUUCUAGAGGGAAGAAGAACCAUAAGAAACGGUUGAUGAACAGAAGUGACAAAAUUUGUUGGAAUAGAUUAUCUUCUUUUUUUGAGUUGCCAUACUGGAAGGAUCUUCAUGUUAGACAUUGUUUAGAUGUGAUGCACAUUGAAAAAAAUGUUUGCAUGAAUAUCUUAGGUACAUUUCUUGAUAUUCCUGGAAAAAGUAAGGAUGGAUUGAAUGCUAGACGCGAUUUAGUUGAUCUAAAACUUCGACCAGAGCUUGCCCCUAUCAGAAUAUGUUACUCCUACUAAUUACUUUCAUUAUGUAAAAAAGACAUCUAAACGUGAGGAUGAGAUUAUACUUGAGAAUAAAGAACUUCGAAGGCGUGUAAGCGAAUUAGAAGCACAUAACCACUCAAACUUGUCUAGACCAUUAUCUGGACAUGGUAGCUGUUCGAAGCCAAAUAUCUUAGAAGAGAGUGACUCGAUGAAAAUAAUCAAAGGGAAGAGUAAGUUGAUGGAUAAAAUCGAAGGGAAAGAGGUGGAGGAGAUCAAUGUAAAUGACGACAAAGUAGAGUUGGACAUCUUUAAGGUAUGUGAUCGAUCCUCUAAUAAACUCAAAUUCUUAAUAUUCAUAUCAUAUUGAAAGUGAAUGUUUUUCUUGAAUUAGGAGAGAGCCUUAAUAAAAAUGACUAAGGAAAAAGAGGUUGUCUGUGAAUCGACGUCAGUUUUGCCAAUGGGAAUGAAGUUGAUUCUCAUAUACGUUGAGAAGAUAAUGGAGAAAGAUUCUAGUAUCACUAUUCCACUACUGUUGGCAUUUUUGGUAUUAGUCGAAAGACUUCUGUUCUCCGAGAGGACAUCAUUGAUCUUUGUAACAUGAAUGAGGUCAAAACAUUUACAUUGGUGGCCUAUAUGACGUAAGUAUCAAUUUCAUUUCUUUAGAUCUAAAUUUAUGUAUCUCGUUUACAAGUUUAUAAUAUUUUGUAGGUACUUGUAUUCAUCUGUUCUUGGUUCGAAGGAAACUAUACAGUAUGUCUUUGUAGAUCCAUCCCUCACCUCUGUCGGACACUCGCAAGAAUCUCGAGUUCGACACUUAUGCAGUAGAUUGAUGGUCUCAAAGAUUAACGAAAUAGUUCUUGCUCCUUUUAAUCCUGGGUAAGUCAAGUUAUUUUAUUACUUGCAUUGCAAAAAACUAGUACUAAUAUUUUGUAUAAUUAGGGGUCAUUGGGCACUGCUGGCCAUAAAUGCAUAUGAUGAUAUAGUAUUUUACCUCGACUCACUAAGGACAACAUCGAAGUCAACUAUAAGAUACGUCACCGACACGUAAGUUAAUCUAGUAUUUCAUUUAGUGUUGAUUCUUAUAUGCAUGUACACAAUAUUUAAACUAUUUGUUCAAUCUUAUCUUGUCAAAACAGAGCAAUAGCGAUGUUUCAGUCACAAAAGAACAUUAAAAAAAGUAGAAAACAAACUUUAUGGCUAACAGUAAAGGUAAGUAUCAACUUUUAAAGUCAUUAAAUUUUUGUAGACUACUAGCAAUUAGGAUUACUUUGUUAUUCAAAUUUGUUGCUUUUAUAUAGUGUCCACUGCAAGGAAGUAUUGAGUGUGGAUACUAUGUGAUGAGGUAUAUGAGAGAAAUUGUGACUAGGGGAAGCAUUGUCAUAUCCGAUGCGGUAUGUUAUAUAUCAAACUAUUGGUUUUGUGAGUUAAUUGGUUUAUUUGUAUAGUCAGUUAAUUCAUUUAAUUUAUUUUGUAUGUUUAUUGAUUGAUACACGAAGAUCAUACUCACAGGCAGAACUACACGAGGUGCGAGUUGAGUUAGCUGACUUUUUGGGUUCUUACAUAUGAUUAUGACCAAUAUUUUGUGAUUCUGAAGUAGGAAAUUUUUUGUUGUGUCGCUUCUUUAUGACCCUAAACUUUAUGUAUAGAAACUUUAGCCGAUAAUUCUUUUGAAUUGUUCAUAUGGAGGAAGGGGGGAGGGGGGUUCAUUCGUAUAUAUUUUUAUUAUUGUUAUAGCUAGCAUGUUUUGUGACUUUUUAAGUUGAUUUGGAUUCAUGGCAAUGUAAUGCCAUAUGAAAUCUAAUGUAAAGCCUAUUUCAUUAUGUAUAUGUAAAGUCUUGGAAUUGAAUAUAUAUGGUGAAUGGUUUUAUUUAUAUAUGUUUGAGAUUUGAAACUAUAUUUGAUGAAUAUCAAAUAUCUAUGAAACUGUUGUGGACAAUUACAGGAUAAUUACAGGACAAUCAGAAUAUAUUUCUUUCCAUUACAGCAUAAUUCAAUUACAAUUUCUUUUUUUAAAAAAAAUUAAAAAAUGCUUGACGGUUUUAAAAUGUCACGAACAAUUGCAAGCUUGACGGUUUUAAACUGUCAUGAACAAUUGCAUUUUUACGGUUGACAAAUGUCAAAACAAUUACAUUCUUGACAGUUUUAAAAUGUCAUGAAUAGUAAAAUUCUUGACGGGUUUAAAAUGUCAUAAACCAGUUCAUCCUUGACGGCUUUAAAAUGUCAUAAACAAUACCAGUCCUGACGGUUCUAAAACGUCAUGAACAUAAGUAUAUUUGACGUUUAUAAAACGUCAACGUUCACUAUUCUUGACGUUUAAUCAACCGUCAAGAACUUUGCCUUUCUUGACGCUGGCUUCAACGACGUUUUUAAAACCGUCAAGAGAGCCGUCUCUUGAAGUUUAAAAACGUCAAGAGAGCCUGUUUUUGUAGUAGUGUUAUUUUGCCAUUUUCGCAAGUGUCCCUUAAUUGUAAUACAUGUAUAUGUGACAUAAUCUAAUCAAACUAACCAUAAAUGGACUUAAUGUAUCAGGUAUUAGGUGUAUCAGACGUGUAUAAGGUGUAUCAAAUGUACAUCAAUAACGAGGGCAUUUGUGACAUUUUACCUCUUGAUGUGUGAGCUGGUCUUUGUUUUUGUCACUUUCUCAAAUAAUAAAGUAUGUGUUCUAUGGACUUAAUUAUUAUAACUUAUUUUGCCAUUUUCGCAAGUGUCCCUUAAUUGUAAUACAUGUAUAUGUGACAUAAUCUAAUCAAACUAACUCAUAAAUGGACUUAAUCGAUCUCAUGGACCACGAAUUCUUCAAUUACUUGCAAAUUUGGUGAGUUCCUUCAAACAGUGGGCGAAGAGCUUAAUUUUGAGAGAGAGGAAAAGUCGUGAAGAGUAUAUGCGAGAGAGGGGGAACGUGCCAGAGAGCAUUUGCGAGAGAGCUAAAGACAGCGACGAUGUGGGAUGAAGUAAGGUUUUUUUCGGUCGUUGUUCACAGUGGGAUGAAAGCUUCGAAUUAUUUGUUUUAAAUCAAAAGGCGUAAUGAUUGAAGGAAAACAUUUAUUUUUUAUUAGGGUAAUUUUUAAUGACACAUAAUUUAUGUCAUUAAUUAACAAUGCGAAAAUUUUGUCAAGAAAACUCAAUUUGUGUCACGAAAAAUUUUGUAUUUUUAUUUUUAACGACACAUUUUAUUCCCUCAUGUCCCUUUUUCUUGAUUUCAAGUGUCAUUAAAACUUAUUGUUGAAUAAGAAAUUUUGAGACCAAUCACAAGUUGCCACAUCAUUUAUUAAGUUAAUGAUGAAAAGUACAAAUAAUUAAAUUUGGGACUAAUUAAAAUUGACAUAUGCUCCAAAUUAAAGAGUUGAAAAUAAAUAAAAUGGUCAUUCUAAUAAUGCCACAUGUUUUCAUAUUAAUAGUUGGAUUAAGUUAAUCAUUUUAGUUCAAUUAAAUAUUAUUUACUUGGACUAAGUUCAAUUAAGCCCAAAAAAUAAGCUUAAUUGAGCCCAAAGACUAAAUAUAACCUAAGUCCAUAUGGUUGAGCCCAUGCGUCUGGUCCAUGGACCAACUAGGUUCAAACCCAUAAAGCCCACCAGUGAACUCUAUAAAUAGAGGAAUUCUCCUCAUUUGUAGGGGUUGGAAAAUAUUGACUCUAGAAGAUCCAGAGAGAAUUCUUCAAAGAGCUAGAAGACUCCCUAACUCCUGAAGUUGACCAUCCUCGAAGAUUGAAGCUUCUUUAAAGAUACAAGCUUUCUUCCAAGGCUUCAACUUCAAGAACAUCACGUGCUUCGCUUCCUCCAAAUCAAGCUGAAGCAUCCAGUUGAGAGAGAAUCAGAGGAUCAAAUUCUAGAGAUUGAACCGCAUCGCAUCAAAUCAACAAAAAUACAACAUCAACUCAAGUUCAAGUCCACGAAUUAAAUUUCUCCAGAAAUCUCGUGCGAACAAAUUGGCACGCCCAGUGGGACCAUCUCUACCUCUCAUCUCUCUCUCAUCAUCUAGAUCUACAAGCAAAUCAAUGGCAUCAAAGAAAGUUGCAUCCAAAUCUUCAGCUGCAAGCGACACCUACACGGGACCUAUCACCUGUAGUCGUUCCAAGGGGAUCAUCCAAGGGCAAGACCAAGGUUCCGCCAUCGCGCAGAGCAUCCUGAAGCAAUUAAUGGAAUCUCCUAAAGCUGGAAUUGUCAUCAAGGAAAAUCCUCUAUAUAAUGAUUAUGAUUCUGCCUCUAGCAGGUCACUGAAAGAAGCACACCCAGAUGUGAUGUCCGUCAUGAUGGCUGAUGUAGCAGUCGAGACUGCCAUGGCGGAGAUGGAGAGAAAAUUAAUCUCCUGAUGAAGGUUGUUGAUGAACGAGACCACGAAAUUACAGCUUUAAAGGAGCAGAUGCAGACUCGUGAAACUCUGAAUCGAGUCAAACUUGUCGUUAAAGUUGAUGACAAAGGGAAGAACGUGGUACAAGAAAAUCAGCCACAACAACAAUCAACUUCUGUGGCUUCUCUCUCGGUUCAACAAUACAAGAUAUGAUCACAAACUCCAUCAGAGCACAAUAUGGAGGCCCAUCUCAGACUUCUUUCAUGUACUCUAAACCAUACACCAAAAGAAUCGACAACUUGAGAAUGCCGCUUGGAUAUCAGCCUCCAAAAUUCCAGCAGUUUGACGGAAAGGCAAUCCAAAACAGCACGUUGCUCACUUCGUCGAAACAUGUGAGAAUGCAGGAUCAAGAGGAGAUCAACUAGUCAGACAAUUUGUUCGAAGCUUGAAAGGAAAUGCUUUUGAAUGGUAUACUGAUCUGGAGCCAGAAAGCAUUGAGAGUUGGGAACAACUAGAAAAGGAGUUUCUCAAUCGCUUCUACAGCACCAGGCGUACUGUAAGCAUGAUGGAGCUUACAAAUACGAAACAAAGAAAGGGAGAACCAGUCAUCGACUACAUCAAUAGAUGGAGAGCUCUAAGUCUUGACUGUAAAGAUCGGCUCACCGAACUGUCGGCUGUAGAAAUGUGCACCCAAGGCAUGCACUGGGGACUCCUCUACAUUUUGCAGGGAAUAAAGCCCCGCACAUUUGAAGAACUGGCAACUCGAGCUCAUGAUAUGGAGUUGAGCAUCGCCAGUAGAGGAACUAAAGAUUUUCUUGUUCCUGAAGUAAAGAAAGAUAAGAAAGAGAUGAAAGGUGCUGAAAAGAUAGUGAAAAGCACCGCGAAAGAAUCUAUGGUCGUAAACACAACCCCGCUGAAAUUCUCCAAAGGAAAGGAAGCGAGGGUUGAAAAGAAGGAUGAUGGAAGCGAAAGGCGACGUCUGACUUUAAAAGAAAGGCAGGAAAAAGUUUACCCAUUUCCUGAUUCAGAUAUCGCUGACAUGCUAGAGCAACUACUAGAGAAGCAGCUGAUCCAGCUGCCAGAAUGUAAACGACCUGAGCAAGCAGGAAAGGUAGAUGAUCCCAAUUACUGCAAGUAUCAUCGGGUCAUCAGUCAUCCAGUAGAGAAAUGCUUCGUGCUGAAGGAGCUAAUUCUAAGGUUGGCUCGUGAGAAAAGGAUUGAGCUAGAUUUGGAGGAAGUAGCUCAAACAAACCACGCUGAAGUGACGAUAAUGUCUGAGGCUUCUUCGUCGAGAUUGAUUUUUGAGCAAAGGAAAAGCUUGGUCCAGUUCGGGACCUUUGAGCCUAUAGUUGUCCAAUUCUUUCAGGAAAUCUCAUACGAGGAUCCUCAAGGAGAGAAAAGACCAAUCGAAGAAGACGAUGAAGGGUGGAUAGUGGUGACCCACCGAAAGAAAAGACAGUCGAUCCCGACCCAAAGAGAGUCUCGCUCUUACCAAAACUAUAGAAGAGGAAAUAAGACUCAAAAGAAUAAGAAAAAGAAGAAGACUCAUAAGCUUAAGCUCGUACAUAAUGAAGACAUGAAUUUCUCUCGACCUCAACGCUUAGUGACCUUGCAGACUUCCUUCCAAAAAGCUUCCUUUGUGAUCAUCAGGAUGAAGACCCAGAAGUCGUUGCGUGUCAUGCUAUCAACACAACGGAGGAAGAAAUAAUCCCUCCAAGAUCACUAGAAGGAGAGGGAGUAUCAAAAGACCUUUCAAGGUUUAAUGUAGAGGAUCUAUUAUCACUUCCUCAAGAGACCAAAACCAUCCUUAUUGAUGCAUUGCUAAAUUCAAGAGCAUCAAGUUCGAGUACUCCGACUAUGACAUAUGAGAGUGGUUCUUAUUGUAUGUCUAUAGACUUCUCAGAUGAGGAUUUGUUGUUGGGAUCUAAACUUCAUAAUAGACCUUUGUAUGUUUCUGGAUACGUUCGAGAACAGAGAGUCGAUCGAAUCCUCAUUGAUAAUGGCUCAGCUGUCAACAUAAUGCCAAAGUCGACUAUGUGGCAAUUAGGCAUCUUGAUGGACGAGCUCUCAAAUAGCAAGCUAGUAAUUCAAGGUUUUAACCAAGGUAGCCAAAGAGCAAUAGGCAUGAUACGGUUAGAACUCAUAAUUGGCGACCUAAAGGCCAGUGCAUUGUUUCAUGUCAUAGACUCAAGGACUACUUACAAGUUGUUACUAGGGCGUCCUUGGAUUCAUGGAAACGGAGUAGUAACUUCAACACUGCAUCAGUGCUUCAAAUUUUAUCAGGACGGUGUAAAGAAGGUUGAAGCCGACUCUAAUCCAUUCUCAGAAGCUGAGUCUCACUUCGCAGAUGCAAAGUUUUAUUCAAAGAAUAAUAAUAUUUUAGAAGUUUUGCCUGCAGAAACCCCUCUUACAAAAGGAGAAGAUAAUUCACAACUGAAAUCACUCGCAACCACAGAACCACAUGAAAGUGCGAGAACCUUUAACUCUGGAAAGGGUGAAGCAUACACUAGCAGCACAAAGGGUAUGAUCUUGAAGGAUGAAAAUGCUGCAAACACACCAGUUUUGCGUUAUGUCCCUCUGUCAAGGCGCAAGAAAGGCGAAUCACCAUUCAUGGAGUCUCCAAAAGGUUUGAAAGUUGGUGACAUCGAAAUCAUAAAAGAAAGCUUCACUACACCACUAACUAAGAUAGCGAAGCAGGAGGUAAAGGUAGAUCUGGUGGAAGCAAACUUGCCCCAAAGGCGAACGAAAGACGGAUUCGACCCCAAGGCUUACAAAUUGAUGGCGAAAGCAGGUUAUGACUUCACAGCUCACACCGAGUUUAAAAGCUUGGAAAUUCAUGACCGACCUGAGCUCUCCUCAACUCAAAAGAAGCUUCUACGGAAGGACAUUCUAUACCCGUGUCGAGAAAAGGACUCGGAUACAAGUCGCCAGAACCGAUCCGUAUAACUAAAAAGGGAAGGAAAAAGUGGUUGACAUCAAUCAUAUAACUAUAGAGGAUGACAAUACUGACGUAAAAGAAGGUGAUAAUCAGAGAAUCUCAGUAUUUGAUCGAAUUAGACCAUCUGUUGCACGUCCCGUAGUAUUUGAAAGGCUAAGCAUGACAGAGGCAGAAAGAGAAAGGCUCCAGUCAGUACCAAACCUUGAGAGACAUUCGGUCUUUCGAAGGCUAACUACGACUCCCAUAAAGGAAGAAAGCACAUGCCAUGCCUUGACAACUACAAGACCAUCAGCCUUUGAAAGGCUAGGUGUGUCUAAAAAAAAAAUGUACAAGCACCCCGUGCUCCGAUUUUUAAUCAUCUCGGGGAUAAAGGAUCACACGACAACAUUGAUUCCAACAUAGCAAAGAAGAAGGAACCAAUGUCUCGUGUGAAAGUUUGGCGUCGAAUUAAGCAUACAGAUGUCGAUAAUUAUCGUAGUAAGAAGUUUCCUUGCGAGACAAAGGAAAAUGGAGAAAUUCAUAGCAACGUUCCUUCUCGCAUGAAAAGAAAAACUUUUGUUACUCUCAAUACAAGUCAAGGUUCGUUAAAGGUAAAAAGACAUGAUGUUAUACUAACGAAUCCUGAAAAAGAAGGGUCGGAACAAGGGGAAGGUGAAACUUCAUGUCAUCACAUCACCAUUAUUGAGGAAUCAGAGACUGGAACUCAUGAAGAAGACGCAGAAAAUGCCCCACAAAGUUUAGAGGAUGGUGGUCAAUCUACUGUAGACGAGCUAAAAGAGGUGAACCUUGGUACAAUAGAGGAACCACGUCCGACUUUCAUUAGUGCGUCCCUCUCUAACGAAGAGGUGGAUAAAUAUAUGAGUUUGCUCACCGAAUACAGGGACAUCUUUGCGUGGUCGUACAAGGAGAUGCCAGGACUUGACCCAAAAGUAGCAGUCCAUCAUCUUGCAAUUAAACCGGAUAUCGACCGAUUAAACAAGCACAACGACGUUUUCGACCGGAGCUUAUCCCUCAAAUCGAGGUGGAAGUCAACAAGUUGAUCGAAGCAGGAUUCAUUCGCGAGGUCAAAUAUCCAACGUGGAUAGCAAACAUUGUCCCUGUUAGAAAAAAAAAUGGACAACUUCGCGUUUGUGUAGACUUUCGCGAUCUGAAUAAUGCAUGCCCUAAAGAUGAUUUUCCCUUGCCCAUCACCGAAAUCAUGGUUGAUGCAACUACUGGACACGAGGCGUUGUCGUUUAUGGAUGGGUCGUCUGGAUAUAAUCAAAUACGGAUGGCCCUCUCAGAUGAAGAAAUGACAGCUUUCAGAACUCCAAAGGGAAUAUACUGUUACAAGGUGAUGCCCUUUGGAUUGAAAAAUGCCGCGCUACUUAUCAACGUGCCAUGCAGAAAGUGUUUGAUGAUAUGUUGCACAGGUAUGUUGAAUGUUAUGUUGAUGAUCUUGUAGUCAAAACAAAGAGACGACAAGACCAUUUGAAGGAUCUAAAAGUCGUGUUUGAUCGCUUGCGAAAAUAUCAGCUAAGGAUGAACCCUCUCAAGUGUGCGUUUGGUGUAACUUCAGGAAAAUUUCUUGGCUUCAUUGUAAGGCAUCGAGGGAUCGAAAAUAGACCAGUCCAAGAUUGAUGCCAUUCAGAAGAUGUCAAGACCUAAAAGUUUGCAUGACCUAAGAAGUCUCCAAGGACGACUGGCUUACAUCCGAAGGUUCAUCUCUAACUUGGCCGGUCGGUGUCAACCUUUUCAAAAGUUGAUGAGAAAAGGAGAAAAUUUUGUGUGGGAUGAAGCUUGUCAGAACGCUUUUGAUAGCAUAAAGAAAUACUUGCUUACUCCCCCAGUGCUGGGAGCUCCAGUACCUGACAAACCACUAAUAUUGUACAUUGCUGCACAAGAAAGGUCCUUAGGAGCAUUACUGGCACAAGAAGAGGUAAAGGGAAAGGAGCGUUCUCUCUACUAUCUAAGCAGAACAUUAAUUGGGGCUGAAGUUAACUAUUCUCCUAUCGAAAAGAUGUGUCUUGCACUUUUCUUUGCCAUUGAUAAGUUGAGGCAUUAUAUGCAGGCCUUCACGGUUCAUCUAGUGGCAAAAGCAGACCCUAUAAAGUAUGUUCUAUCCAGGCCAAUCAUCGCUGGACGCUUAGCCAAAUGGGCGGUUCUACUCCAACAAUAUGACAUUGUCUAUAUUCCCCAAAAGGCGAUAAAAGGACAAGCGCUAGCAGACUUUUUAGCAGACCACCCAAUUCCUUCGGAUUGGAAGUUAUGUGAUGACCUACCAGACGAUGAGGUUUUCUUCACAGAAGUUAUGGAACCUUGGACUAUGUACUUCGAUGGUGCAGCUCGAAGAAGUGGUGCGGGGGCAGGCAUUGUCCUCAUUUCUCCUGAGAAGCAUAUGUUGCCUUAUAGCUUUGCACUUUCCGAAUUGUGUUCAAACAAUGUGGCUGAAUAUCAGGCUUUGAUAAUUGGCCUUCAAAUAGCAUUAGAAAUCGGAGUGUCAUUCAUAGAGGUCUAUGGUGAUUCAAAAUUGAUAAUCAAUCAACUCUCGCUUCAAUAUGACGUGAAACAUGAAGACUUGAAGCCAUAUUUUGCUUAUGCUCGACAAUUGAUGGAAAAGUUUGAUAAUGUGAUGUUAGAACAUGUCCCUAGAGUAGAAAAUAAGAGAGCGGAUGCAUUGGCAAAUUUAGCCACGGCCUUGACCAUGCCAGAUGAUGUAACUCUGAACAUACCACUUUGUCAACGAUGGAUUAUACCCCCAGUUAGGCCUGAAUGUCAGGAAGUGAACAUGGCAACAUCCUAUUUGAUUGAUGAAGAAGAUUGGCGUCAACCCAUCAUAGAGUAUCUUGAACAUGGAAAGCUUCCAAAGGAUUCUCGUCAUAAAAUUGAGAUACGAAGAAGGGCAGCACACUUCAUUUAUUACAAGGGAACUUUAUAUCGCCGUUUUCUUGAAGGGCUCUUCCUUCGAUGUCUCGGAAAGGAAGAUUCGGUAAAAGCUCUAAAGGAAGUACAUGCAGGUGUUUGUGGAGCACAUCAAUCGGGACCAAAGCUUCAAUUCCAGCUAAGAAGAAUGGGCUACUACUGGCCUAAGAUGAUCCAAGAUUCAAUAGACUAUGUGAAGAAGUGUGAGCCUUGUCAAUACCAUGCAAACUUCAUACACCAACCUCCAGAACCUCUUCAUCCAACUGUGGCUUCUUGGCCUUUUGAGGCUUGGGGACUCGAUCUGGUUGGCCCCAUUACACCAAAAUCAUCAGCAGGACAUUCUUAUAUCCUAGCAGCAACAGACUAUUUUUCAAGGUGGGCUGAGGCCAUUUCAUUGAGAGAAGCCAAGAAGGAGAACGUGGCAGACUUUAUUCGAACACACAUCAUCUAUCGAUACGGUAUUCCACAUCGAAUCGUGACGGAUAAUGGAAAGCAAUUCUCCAAUAGUAUGAUGGACAAGUUAUGUGAAAAAUUCAAAUUCAAGCAAUAUAAGUCAUCCAUGUACAACGCAGCUGCGAAUGGACUAGCAGAAGCAUUCAACAAAACAUUGUGUAAUCUUUUAAAGAAAAUUGUCUCCAAGUCAAAGAGGGAUUGGCAAGAAAAGAUCGGCGAGGCAUUAUGGGCUUAUCGGACGACUCAUCGCACCCCUACAGGGGUUACACCAUAUUCGCUUAUUUACGGUGUGGAGGCUGUCCUUCCUCUCGAAAGGGAAAUUCCGUCACUAAGAAUGGCAGUACAAGAGGGAUUGACUACCGAAGAUAAUGUGAAGUUACGUCUUCAAGAAUUAGAAGCACUUGACGAAAAGCGAUUAGAGGCUCAGCAAGCAUUGGAAUGUUAUCAAGCGAGAAUGUCCAAAGCUUUUGAUAAACACGUUAAACCUCGCUCCUUUCAAGUCGGUGAUCUAGUACUUGCCGUAAGGAGACCGAUCAUCACAACAAGGCAUACAGGAAAUAAGUUCACACCUAAAUGGGAUGGACCUUACAUUGUUAAAGAAGUUUAUACAAAUGGCGCAUACAAGAUCGUUGAUCAAGACGGACUACGAAUUGGCCCAAUCAAUGGUAAAUUUCUUAAAAAAUUUAUGCUUAAUUUUGUUAGGUAAAAAAAAAAAAAAAAAAGUUGAACUACGUUAUGACUUGAUCCCUAUAUUAUAAAGGGUACGUAGGCAGCUUAAGGAAAACCUUAAGCCCAGUCCAGCAAAAAAAAAGUUGAACUACGUUAUGACUUGAUCCCUAUAUUAUAAAGGGUACGUAGGCAGCUUAAAGAAAACCUUAAGCCCAGUCCAGCAAAAAAAAAAAGUUGAACUAUGUUAUGACUUGAUCCCUAUAUUAUAAAAGGCAGCUUAAAGGAAACUUUAAGUUCAGUCCAAUAAAAAAAAAAGGAAGAAAGACAAAUUACAUUUAAUAGAAAAUAUGAUGAGGAGUGGAACAAUGAAAGAAUAAUUUUUUUUUUAUUAUUAUUAUAAACUUCUAGCAAAAAAAAAUUAAAAAGGCAUAAGUAGAUAAAUAAGAGAAAGCAGAGAAUCAUGGAGUCCAUUUAAAGUUCUUCAGCUCCUCUAGUGUGCUUUCUAAAGAUUCACGAAGUGUUGAUAGCAUUUUAGCAUCAAUAUCUCCAACGAUCGGGGCACAUUCGAGUUUGUCAAUUUCCUCACAAGUCUUCGAAAUCUCAUGUUGCUUCUGCUUCAGCUCCAGGUCGUUCUUAAAAAUUAUUCCAGAAAGUUUAGCAGACUCAACCCGCACCAUCUUUAGUUUUGCCUCUAGUUUAGCCUCCUUAGCGGACAGUCGUGUAAGACGACGUUUAGCAGUGUUGGUCUCUGCUAAUAUACGAUUCUCAUCAACUCGCAGAGUCUUCACAAAACCUUUUGCCUCCGUUAGCUGAACAUCCUUAGUUGAUUGGAGUGGAAAUGAGGAAUGUAUUUGAUUAUGGUUCUCGACACCUUGGAAGUAACCAUUCACAAGCUCCCUCAAAACAAUAAGGUUGUCGCUGCCGUUAGUCGCAAUCGCAUCAAAGAUCUUAUGCAUUUCUGGUUCAAGACUACUCAGUCGUUCAAAAGGGGUACGAAUGAUCUUCUGUCGUAGGUUUUCCCAUAAGGUUAUGGCAGCCUGUCGUCGGAGGUCAGAAAUUAAGCUGUCAGCACAAAAAUGAGAAAUCUCAGAAACUGUAAUAGGCUCUGUGCCUUCCACUUUUUGAGGAGGUCCCUUGAUCACAGGAGGACAAGCAGACACAAUAUUUGCGCCUAUAGGUUCCUUAGAGUUCCCAUUAUAAGAAAGUACAACGUUACAGUCUUCUAGAUUCAGCAUCAACUCUAGGGUAUCUUCGAUGUGUAGGUCAUGAUCACCUAAAGAAUACUACAAAAUAAUAUUAACAACAAGAAAUAAGGGGAGUAAAGGAGAGAAAAUACAAUCAAUAAAUAAAUAAAAUUGGGAGACGAAAAGAAACCAUGGGGGAAGGGACAUCGAAAAAUUGUGCAGCAUCAGGGACCCGAAUAGGAGACUCUUCAUCAUCGAUCGACUGUUUGUUAGGCUUCUUGGGUCUCUUCCAAUGGCGAUCAUCAUUGCUGCUUUGACUGUCCUCAAUACGUUUAGAAGGAUGCUUGGUAGCUAUCGAUAAGCGGUUGUCCUUACCCAUAUUGUCAAUACCACCUUUAAUAAGAUGUUUAAAUCGUGUAGAAAGAGACAAAUUAUCCACCAAGCGUUUUGUCCCUCCCUCAAUUUUCUCCACAAGUCGUUCAUCAGUUUCAUCGGAGCAUAUCUUCUGAUUUCCACUACCAAAAUUAUGUUCAAUCUUUUUUGUGGUUUUGGAUUUGAUGUGAGGGGGAGUAGGACGAUCUAUCAAAUGUUGUACUCCUUCUUGGAGGUAAUCACCGUGUUUUGCAAGCCACCAGACCUUAUAAUGAGAGGUAACAUGUGUGUCUGGAUUAGGGGCAGACACAGGAAGAUAUACUUGGGAAAGUGUAUUCUCGCGAAUACAAAUCAUCCAACAAUAUCGUACGUUAAAAAAAUUGGCUUCGGGAAUUUCUUCACCUAAGUCAUAUGGCACGUCUUGAUAAAAUCCAAAUGGUCGGCUAAAGCGACAAGGACUAUAAGGCUCAAUAACUGUGGAGGAUCCACAUUGCGAGGAUAGAAAACAAGAGCAAAUGCUUAUGAAAAAUGAAGCAUUCUAACUAAUUAACUCUCCAUCAUCCGUUAAGAGUUCGUCCUUAUUCUUUGUUGGAAGACACGCAUGCCAUGACACAUACUUUCCCUUGUGGAUAUGUGUUCGAGCCUCAAGAUUAGUAUAAUAUUUGGCCCCACCUUCACCAGAAAAUUCAACCAUGCGAGGACCCCUAAGACUCCUAGGGGCUUUAUAAUGAGUGUUGAAGUAAAGAGCAAGCCACCCAUGGACAUAGUGAAGAGGAAAACAGGCAUUUGAAUAACCAAGUGAUGAAGUAGAAUCAUGAACUUGGCGUAGGCCACUAUAAAUAUUAGCUAAAACAGGGACGGCAAGGCUAAAUGUGUAGCCUUCCGCCAUGAGGCUAGCAACCUUAAAAACCUCCGGACGAAGGGAAAGUUGCUUAUCAGGGAACACAAACACACAUAGCCAACAAGAGAGAAAUGCCGCUAGAUAGGUUUUGUCCCUAUGAUCAUCAGUGACGCUUAAGUCAAGGAACACUUUGAGUUCAGCUUUAGACCAGUCAGGACGUCUGAUGGGAAUUCCAUCUGGAUUAUGAGUUGAGCGAGGGCGAGAAGUCUUUUUAGGCUUUCGAGGAGGCGGUUUCGAAUACUUUACCUCAGAUCGUGUAACCCAAAAAGAGAUCCAUUCACUUACAGUGAUUUGAGAGUGAUCCAUGCGUUGAGAAACAAUGCGGUAAUAGGCUGCAAAUAAAUGCUCACAACUUCUUGGACAUACAUCAGGUGAUCCUAUUAAGUCUUGGUGGCAAGGAAUGCUUUCUUCAUAAAAUCUACCUUUAAUCGGGAGUCCUCCUAGUAUCCAUAAGUCCCAUAAGGAGAUGGACAUCUCACCAGCUGAGGUGUGAAGAGUGUUUGUUGAAGGACACCAUGCCUCGCAGAAAGCCCGAUCAAUGUCACUGUUGCGAUCAUAUGUAUAUAGGGAAGCCAUCACAGCAUUAAAUAGGGAGGCUCGCUUGAGUACUGCCGUAUUUCUAGCAACAACGAGCUCUAACCACUCCCAAUAAUGAGGAAGAUAGUAAAAUUCUCCAUGUACCUUGAGCACAUUUCCCCAACGAAUUUUUGGGUCGUUUAUAAUUCGACGACCCAACGUUGAUUCUGGAUCCUCAUUUGGAGGCUUGUUGUGAAUCGAAGACUCCAGAAACCAAGAUUUUAAAGAUGAAUUUGGAUUUACAAACCGUUCCUUGGACCAUUUAGGCAAAAAGAUAAAAUUGUCCUCGGGUAUUUGAGAGUCCAUAAUAUUCUCAUAUGUCCCCUCUCUCACAGGAAGAAUGAUCCCUUCCUCUAAAGAUUGAUCUACGUCCUUCAGGAUAAUUAAACACCUUUUGGUCGAGUCAGAAUACUCAGUGAAGUGCACCAUGAUGAAAAGAAGAGUUCCUGCAAAAUAAUAAUAAUAAUAAGAAGAAGAAGAAAUAGAAAAAAAAAAAAAAACCAAAACAAAAAAAAAAAAAAAAAAAAAAAAAAAAAAAAAAAAAAAAAAAAAAAAGAAAGAAGAAAAAAAAAAGAAAGAAAGAAGAAAAAAGGGGGGGGAAGAAAAAGCAAAUGGAGAUUGAAGCCCGACGAUGACAGAGUCGAUCUCUCCUACUAGGGCGAUAGAUCUGACGGCAAAAGCCCGAUCGUCCCUAGAAGAAGCUCAACAAAGUCAUUUCUGCAAACGAAGAUCGAAGCCCGACGAUGACAGAGUCGAUCUCUCCUACUAGGGCGAUAGAUCUGACGGCAAAAGCCCGAUCGUCCCUAGAAGAAGCUCAACAAAGUCAUUUCUGCAAACGAAGAUUGAAGCCCGACGAUGACAGAGUCGAUCUCUCCUACUAGGGCGAUAGAUCUGACGGCAAAAGCCCGAUCGUCCCUAGAAGAAGCUCAACAAAGUCAUUUCUGCAAACGAAGAUUGAAGCCCGACGAUGACAGAGUCGAUCUCUCUAACUAGGGCGAUAGAUCUGACGGCAAAAGCCCGAUCGUCCCUAGAAGAAGCUCAACAAAGUCAUUUCUGCAAACGAAGAUCGAAGCCCGACGAUGACAGAGUCGAUCUCUCCUACUAGGGCGAUAGAUCUGACGGCAAAAGCCCGAUCGUCCCUAGAAGAAGCUCAACAAAGUCAUUUCUGCAAACG